UUAGGUUUUAAUUAAAAAAAAAUAUAUUAACUUUAAUAAAAGAUGAUUUGAAAUAAUAAUAAUAAUAAUAAUAAUAAUAACAACAAAUGUUUGGUAAAAUCCUUUUCCAAGCGUACCCAACAGCAUAAUAUGAACAAAUGCACUAACAGAGAAACCGACAAAAGGGCAAAAUGGUAAAAUCAAAAGGGGCAAAUACUAUAAACAAGUAGUUUCUGUGUGUGACGUCAUAAACCCGAUCGAACUCUAAACUCAGCUUUUCAACCUUUUCUCUCUUAACCUUAAAAAGGGUUCUGUUUGCAAUCCUAGGUUCCUUUCCAACAAAACCAAAGCGGGGAAACGUCAAUGAUUACGAAAAAUCCCAUGUUUAUGAUUCCCUCGAAACCCUAAACACAUCCAGUUGUAGAUCUUCGUCUGUACGGAGAAAUCUUUUUCACAGAGAGGAGAAAGCCAAAAAAAAAAGGAAUAAAAAGAAAAACCCGCCGACCCACAAUUCGUAUUUCAACCUUUUGUUCGAUCUUUCAGAGUAUCUUCUUCUCUAAAGAUUCUCUUUUUGUGCUCUUCCAAAUUUUUCGAGCUGGUGAAAGAAAAAUCGUGCUGGUAAAGCUCAGGUUUUCUCUGUNNNNNNNNNNNNNNNNNNNNNNNNNNNNNNNNNNNNNNNNNNNNNNNNNNNNNNNNNNNNNNNNNNNNNNNNNNNNNNNNNNNNNNNNNNNNNNNNNNNNNNNNNNNNNNNNNNNNNNNNNNNNNNNNNNNNNNNNNNNNNNNNNNNNNNNNNNNNNNNNNNNNNNNNNNNNNNNNNNNNNNNNNNNNNNNNNNNNNNNNNNNNNNNNNNNNNNNNNNNNNNNNNNNNNNNNNNNNNNNNNNNNNNNNNNNNNNNNNNNNNNNNNNNNNNNNNNNNNNNNNNNNNNNNNNNNNNNNNNNNNNNNNNNNNNNNNNNNNNNNNNNNNNNNNNNNNNNNNNNNNNNNNNNNNNNNNNNNNNNNNNNNNNNNNNNNNNNNNNNNNNNNNNNNNNNNNNNNNNNNNNNNNNNNNNNNNNNNNNNNNNNNNNNNNNNNNNNNNNNNNNNNNNNNNNNNNNNNNNNNNNNNNNNNNNNNNNNNNNNNNNNNNNNNNNNNNNNNNNNNNNNNNNNNNNNNNNNNNNNNNNNNNNNNNNNNNNNNNNNNNNNNNNNNNNNNNNNNNNNNNNNNNNNNNNNNNNNNNNNNNNNNNNNNNNNNNNNNNNNNNNNNNNNNNNNNNNNNNNNNNNNNNNNNNNNNNNNNNNNNNNNNNNNNNNNNNNNNNNNNNNNNNNNNNNNNNNNNNNNNNNNNNNNNNNNNNNNNNNNNNNNNNNNNNNNNNNNNNNNNNNNNNNNNNNNNNNNNNNNNNNNNNNNNNNNNNNNNNNNNNNNNNNNNNNNNNNNNNNNNNNNNNNNNNNNNNNNNNNNNNNNNNNNNNNNNNNNNNNNNNNNNNNNNNNNNNNNNNNNNNNNNNNNNNNNNNNNNNNNNNNNNNNNNNNNNNNNNNNNNNNNNNNGGGGACCUGCGGAGUCAUUUCCAUACGGAUACAUGCCUGCAGCUCCUCACAUGCCGCAGUUUGGAGCUCCUGGGAUGAUAAUGGGGAAGCCUGUUAUGGACCCUGCUUUAUAUGCCCAGCAGCCACCCAACUACAUGGCUAGGCAAGGGUGGCCACAGGGGUCAGAGCAGCAGCAGCAGCAACAACAACAGCAGUCACCUUCGGGUCACUAGUGACUGACGUGAGAAGCUGGGGGGAAAAGGUAAGUGCUUAUAUUGCCUCUUUAGGCUAGUCUGGAACAAAUCCAGAAAUGUAAUGGAAUUUAUAUGCAAAUCUAAACUUGAAUCUUGCACAAUUGAAAUAAUUUUAAGUAUAUCAUUUCAAUUUCACAUGAAACUUCAUAUGAGGUUGAUUUUUAGUAUUUUAUUGAAAAUUUCACUAUCCUUUGGUCAAACUAAUUUAGAUUUAUAAAUAAAUUUUACUAAACUUAUGGAUUAAUUACAUAUGUAGCUUUAAUAGGUGAGAUUACAGGAAGAAACUGCAAGUAUAAUUGCCAAUUGAAUUAUAUGUUGGGAAAAUGAGAACUACCAUGGUUGUUGUAGUUUAGUAUGAGUUCUGGUUACCAUGAAUUUCUUCCCUUUUGUGGUUAAGCUUUCCGAUUUUGUGCCGUGGGAGUGUAUAUUAGCAGAUCCUAAUGGGAUUUUCUUCUUCCUAGGCUUUAGUUUCUCGUACGGAUUGUGCCAGAAUAUAAGAACAUAAGAUUUACGUAAGAUUUCAACUAAGGUUUUGCUGGUGAAUGUCAAUCGUUGAUAGUAGAAGGUUUAAACUUUUAAUUCUUUCUCGUAUAAAACUAUUGUAAGCUCGAGCUCGUAAAUUUAAUUAUAUGCACUAGUAUUCUAUCCGUUAACAUUAUGAUCUUUAAAAACUCUCUUUUAUAAAUGUCAACAUUAAUUUGUUUCUUAUAUGUGCAUCUUUUGUUUCAACUUGCUUGGCUGCAGAGUGGACUCCACAACAUUCUGGGAUGGCAACAGAAUGGGACAAGGUGGCAGAGGUGUCCUCGGUCAUCCUCGAAAGGAGGAAAACUCGGACGGUUGAGGCGAAGACAAGUAGAUUUUCUGUAAAUUUCUAUAUGCAUUACAAAGGAUAGGUGUUGAUGUUGAUUCAACCAUUUUCUUAAUGCCGUUCAAUCUACUACCAACAAUCUGAGAACAUUGGUCAAAGAUGUACAAAUAGAAAUUAUACCUUGAAGUUUGCUUAAAUUUUAAACAUAAUGCUUCUGCCUCCUAUCCUGGUUAUGUUUAUUUACUUGACUUUCCCUCUUGACGCAAAAAAGCAAAAAAGACACACACACACACACACACACACACAUGUAUGUAUAGAUAUAUGGAUGGAAGUCAACGAUGAACCAGGAAAUAUAGCAGGGUCAUUCUUCUUUUGACGUGAGGAUAUUUGGUCUCUGUUUGUGUAUUUUAAGUUUUAAAUGGUUUAAAUUAUUUAAUCUCUUUUUUGAAGAAUAUAUAUAGAUUUUUACUAUAAAUUUUUAUAUAUAUACUUAUUUAAUUAUUUUGUUAUCUUUUCUACUUAUAAAUUUGACUAAAUUUUCAUUAUUUAUAUGAAAAGCAACAUAAAAUACAUGAAGCUAAAGCAAGUGUUCUACUUUUCUUGAAAAUCUCAAGAGGGCUUCAUAAAUUACAAGUCUUAUCUGGUAUAAACUAAACCAAGCCACUCGUAUAUGGAAUUAAAUAAUUUUUUUUUACCAAAUAUUAAUUAUUUAUGAAAAAUUUAUAAAACAAACAUAAAUAUAUUAUCUAACCAUAUACAUAUAUUUUUUUUAAAAAAAAAUAGGUUUCAUGAAUUUAUAAGUCUCAACCAUUAAUGACCCAUACAAAAACCCACCAAAAAAAUCCCUCACUAGGGUUGAUGACCUUCUCGUUAGGGUUGCUUUCUUUGCAGUUAACAUAGUGAUGUUGCAGUCUUGCAGAGAAACAAAAUAUCUCUAAACAGACAGCUUUGCUAUCAAAAUACACCGGACGCAGCUAGAUAGUUCAUCACUUCAGGAGAUCUCAGUGAGAAAAGAAUUGAGUUUUUUGCCAUUCUGAAAGCAAACUAAACCAUUUCAAUAGGAGAAAUAUACAUACAUAAGCUCAUCUUGAGACUACAGAGGUUUUACUAACAAGGCAAAAGCGUGAUUUUGGAUUGUUAUUUUUUCUUUUUCAUUACUAUUCCCUCAAAGAUCCCAUCGAUGCCAAAAUCACCAGUAAAAAGUUGAGGAUCAACUGGACCAGGAAGCUGAAACGAUAUGGAGAAGUGUCCUGGUGGGCAAAGGUUCUGUGAUUGCAUUUCAAACACUUGGGAAUACAUGCACACUCUUUUCUCACCAGUUGCUACGGUCACUCCCCUUAUCAACACCUUCCCAUCACUCUGAAUUUCACAACUGAAAUCCCCUGCACUCACAAAUCAAUAGACAUAUAUUCUGUCAAUUGAUGACAAGUAAUCUGAGAGAAGAAUGAAAAAGUAUUCUUACCUUAGCAAAUGAUAUCGAAGUGUGAUAUUACUAAGGGUAUAUUUGGAAGAAACUCAGAUUAAAAUUUUAUUUGCACACCAGCACUAAGCUUUAAAUAGAGUAGGGAAAGUUCUCCUAAGCUCAUAAAGAUUGAUUUCAUAUAGAAUUUAAUGUGAAAUUGCAUAUUUUUUAUUAUCCACUACCAGAAUUUACAUUCUCUUUUAGUUGAAUUAAGUGUAGAUCUACAAAUGAUUUUUACAUAAUUUCUAAAUUUGUCCCAAACAUAGUCUGUGUGUUAAUACUGCCUUAGCCCCAGGAAGGGGAAAAGAGGGAAAUGAGAUAAAGCAUUUUUUCUGUUUAACGUUCACAAAUGCAGAAGAGAAUCAGAUGAUUUUAAUGCAAACACUUAAAGAAGUACAUCAGAUUAUUCUUUUUGGAAAAAAUAUCUUUUUCAAGAUCAUUGAAAUACUAAAGCGGAAAGAUUUAAAAGGAACUCGAGAAAAGUUUUAUGCAUUCAGUAUAUCAAAGAAAGAGCUACCAUGUGAAACAAAAUUAAAUAAAUAAAAAGCAGGCUGCAGGCUCUAAAAUAGAACUUACUUUCAUCUCUUUUCACUCCAGGAAGAGACACACGAAACAGGUAAGAGUCUUCACAUUCACCGAUGUCCACUUUUCCGACAACAGGGCCAACUUGACCCAUGGCUGCACUCCCAGUCAAUGCAAAUCCAUUUUUGGUGGCAGCUAUAACAUCAGCCAAUUCUUGUUUAGUUGGGUGAGAAGGAAGAAAUAUCAUAGCUGAACUACAUCGCUCAGCAGAGUUGUUCUCAUCUUUUGGGGGUACAGAAGGAGCAUCAUGACUAUACAUACUGCUGCAGGCAGGUGCAUGUAUAUUUUGAUCCUCUGAUUCAGACACAUUUCUUUUUCUUCGAGAAUGAGGAGAAGAUCCAAGAGGGGAAGAGCCCUUAUUGUAUUCAACCACCUGUAUCCUCGUAUUGUAUCUAUCACUAUCCUCAGAAACAUUUAACUGUCCAGAGUCUUUGUCCAAAAGAAAAUCAUCUAGCCCAGUUAGCCUCCUAAACCUUUGAAAAUCCUUUAACUUCAUGUAAGAAAAAUCUGGGUUAUUAAUAAAGACAAUGCUAUCAAUAACUGCAUUGUGAUCAUCAUGCCAUGUUUGUGGAUGCAAUUCCAGAGGGAAGAGAUCAGGAAACUCAGGAUAACUAGCAGUGUGGCCACAUCCAAGGGCUGAAAGCUUUCCCCUAACAAACAAAUAGAGCAAUUUUGAGCUUAUAUGUUGAUCUGCCUUUCUAAGUACAUAAUAGUACACCUGUUUCAGCUCCUCAGUCUUCAUGUGUGAAUUAGCUAGUUGGUCGGAAGUAUAAGGUGAAAGGCCCUCAUCUUUUCUCUGUAAAACUGACUUUGGCUGCCUCUCCCCUUUCAGAUCAGGUCCAAAGUACGUACCGAUGAUGAAGUACAAGAGGAAAAACUGAUCAUCAUUUAUGGUAUCUUCACUACCUGGUCUCAGUGAAUUGAUUGACCCUGAUCCAACAGCAGCAAAAGAAUUUGUAGUUCGAGAUAGUUUAUUCAUAGCAGCUAUACAUGAAAUGAGUUGGAGUCUGCAGAACGAAAAAACAGAUUAUUAAAAAAGAGAUAGACACAAAUUUAGAGGGAAAAUGGUGCCUAUACAUUAACAAUAACAUAUUGAUAAUUGUUUGGAUAUAUGGCUUAGUUCCACAUGGUAAAUCCAUUUUAUAUACAAACUAAGAAUAUCACAACUGCAAAAUUAAACAAUUAAAACACUGAGCACCUAAUUUCAUCUUUCUCUUAUUGACUCUUUGAAUUGAGUAUCAUUUAAAUUAUGAAAAACAGCUAAAUACUAUUUCCAUCUACUAUGCUAUAUUAGAUAUGCAAACAGAAACAGGAUACGGUUAUAGAAAACUCAAGUUAACAACUUCAUAGCAAGCACUAGUCUCUUAAGUGUCAUGCAGAAGACCAAAUUAAUUGGACCAGGAAAAAAAAAUCAAAAUCAUUAAAUGAUUGCUUGAGUUGAUGAAACAAAUAUAUGAGGAUUGUAAUUCUUGUUAUCGUCCUUUGCUAGAAACUUAAAAUCCUCAGAAGAUUAGUGGUUAUAAUUAAAGUCAUGAGUUUAAGCCUUUUACAACAAAAUCCAUAACAAUUGAUAAAAAGAAGGUCAUUCUAUCUACUUACAACAUACUUCAUAAGCAAAAUUUAGAAACAAGAAAUCAGACAACUUUCUUUCCCAUAGUUGAUGCAAAACACAUUACUCUAAAAAAGAUAUUCUGUUGGCAGUUUAUGAUAAUGCAAGAAGUAACAUUAUAACAAUUACUGUCAAUUCUACUCAAACACAGAAAACACCAAUCUACUUCCUCCCUCUAAAGGAAAUAGCCCCUAACAUCGUAGUCAUUUUCAAAAAGCUUUAUGCCACAUCCUGACAGAGCACCAACCAUUGGCAGAGCCAAGGGGGCACGGGGUGGCGGUCGGUAGUCAUGGCUCCCACCUCCCCUGGCUCCAAUGUAUAUGAACAUUAUCGUCAUAUAUGUCACAACCGUGACAAGAGAAUAAAGCUCCGCAAAAACGAAAUUUGCAAAGAAUAUAAAUUUAAGAAUGUAAAAAUGAAAAGGAAGUACCAUUAAUCCAUUUAAGUAGCCCAAAAGUAUUUUGAUAACACAUUUCGAGAUGCCAAGAUGUGGCAUUAAAAUUAGUUUACUGCUUCCAACCAGAUUUAGAGAAAGAAAACAAAUGAUUCCUUUAGGCAAAGCAAGACAACUCAAAAGAGUGGAGUGAACAUGCUUCAAGGUUUCAACUCAAGGAUAUUCUUAUUAAACUACCAAACUCAAGGUUUCGACUUUCUUCAUCACUUGACAGAAACAUGCUUCAAUUCACAAACUCAACCAAAUUAAAUCUCAUUAUUCCAAAUGCUCAAACAAAAAUUAAGCAACAAUGAAUUCAAACUCAAACAGUUUCAAUUCUGUAGAGUCAUUCGUCCAUUCUCCAGUUUCCAUGACAGCAUAACAUUUCAUAAAACAGAGUCAACUCCCACUGCACAUCAUAUAGAUUACAUCAUGCCUUCAUAAAAAAUUCAUUCCCAAGUAUAACAUUUCAAUAGAUUCAACUUCUUCUGCGUAUCAUAUCUACUAAAUUAUACCUUCACAAUUUUCAUUAAGCACACACUGACAUUACAACUGUUAGGUUUUCAGAAAUUAUCAAAGGGGUCCAGAUUAGAAAAUCCCCUGGCACCUUCAGCUUGAUGGCUCUCUUCCUUCCUUUUUUCCUUUUCUCUUCCUCUUUCUUCCUUCUCUCUUUUUGUAUCAAAAUCACCCUCUUUUUCUCCCCUUCUUCACCGUGUCUCCUUCUCUUCUCCGUGUCUAAAAUUGCUUGGAACUGUGAACCCUACAGUGCUCCUCUGAUCAGUCCCUUUCAAACCGGUACUCUCGCCGCCAUGCAUCCUUGGAAUCUUCACUCCAGGAACCCCAUUGUUGACCCUUUUUUCUCGGACGUAGUUACCUCACCAAAAGCGAAAACACUAUAUUUUUAAUUUCUCUUUUCGCCUUUUCCUCUCUCGGCUUGAGCGGUAGCCGGUCACUAACCUCUACUUUUCUCGUUGCAGGUGACACACAAAGAAAGAAGCAGAUGACAGCCCAGAUGCUUGCCUCUCUUCUCUCUGAUUCUCAUUUUCUCUUUCCACUACCUCACUGCAUCUCUGUACGUUUCUCUUCUUCGCGUUCUUGGACAAGCAGAAGCCCUGCCUCCUUCCUAACGCCCGCGCCCUUCUCAUUCUUGGUCGAUUGAAGGGCUGGAGAAGACAAGAAACGGCGCUGUUUGGUGCUAGGCAGAAAGCGUUAAACGACGCCGUUUGGUCCUUAGGCAGAGGGCGGCUAAACGACGCCGGUUGAUCCCAAGAAAAGGGCUGGGCCCAGAUUUUGGUUUCUUUUGGGCUGUGUUUGAUUUUUCUGGGCUCUCCUUGAUUUGACCUUGGGCUAAAUAGAUUUAGGUUUAAAAUAAAUUUAAAAUAAAUAUGUAUGCCCCCACUAUAUAAUAAUCUUACGUUGUGUAUAUAUAUAUAUAUAUUGAUGUGAUAUCUACAAAAAAAAAACCAUAUAUUAUAUUUCAUAUAUGUUAGGAAAUAUAAAAUUUGAAUUUUAGCUUGUUGAAUUUUUCACUUGAAACAAUAAAAGAUGUGUAGAUAACUACUAAUGGGUGUAUGUUGAAGACUAAAGUUAAGUCAUAAUGAAAAUAAAAUAUAAAAACAAAAUAUUUUAUUACCUAUAACAUAAUGCUCAACAAUCUAAUUUGGAAUUUCUAAUACUAAUUAAAGUAUUAAUUUUAAUAAAAAUUAUUGUGAUAUUUUAACAUUUAUAUAUAAAUUUAUAAUUACAAAAGUUUUAUUCUUAAAAUAGUCUUAACAUUUAUUUAUUGCUCAUUAAGGAUAAAUAUUUAUUAAUUUAGAAUAAAGAAUAUAAAAUUUAAAAUCAAAGUAAUAAAUUAAAUAUUAAAAAUAAUGCUUAACUGAGAUAAACAUCUACACAAGAACGUUAACUCCUUCAACUUCUGCCACGUGGCAUAAUUCAAAAUAAAAUACGGUGUCGCUUCCGCACCAGAUCACUGCACACUCUCUUUUAAACCGCCAAGCAGCCACUGGUUUCAUUCACAACUAGCAAACAACUCGUCAGUUUCAGUACGUUUCUUUCUCCUCCUCUAGCGAUUCUCGCAUGGCGUCUCCGAUGAGGUAGAAUCAACUCAUGAACAUACUUUGUGCAUGAUUCUUCGCUUUCCUUGAUGCUUUUUUUCUUCCUCGCGAGAGUUUAAAUUGAAUUUUGAGUGGCGAUAUGACGAGUGUCAUAUCAGAUGUUGCAACUCAUUGUGUGGUUUGUUCUAUCUCAUUCAUGUCGGAUUUUCUUCGCAUUUUGUGAACCUUUGUGUUGUUAGAUUGAUUUCUAGUUUAAGUUUCUGUUUGUUUUCUGUGUAUUGUUACGGACAGAAACACUCGGGGUGUCAAAUGUAAGGAUCGGACGAGAAAAAAGGAGGAAUUUUGUUUAGGGUUUAUGGUAAAAUUUGAUUUUGUUAGUGAUGUUUGUAGGACUAAAAAUGAAAAGAAAAUCAAAGUGAUUCUGGAAAUGUGAUAUUUUAGGUGGAUCAGACGGUUGCUUAUCGACAUGCAACUAGAAAAGUACUCAUCUGUGGAUAUAUCUUGAUUGUUAAUUGAAUUUCGUGCGGUUUUGCUUAGGGUUUAAGUACAUCUUUUGAGAUGUAUGGGGGUAUCUAACAUUUGCUAGAAUCAGCUUGCUUAAGGAACAUGUUUCCGCUUGGUUAUGAAGAUGGCAGUCAUGACUAAAAUGAUGAACUUACAUGAUGCCUCAACUUUCAAAUUUGAGAGCAACUAUUGAAACAAUUAUCAAACUAGUUGACUGUCAAGCAGUGCAACUUGGAGCUGUUUAGGGUGCUUCUCUUAUGAAGUUCAUAACCUUGGCGUCCUUCAUCGAAGGAUGAACCUGAUAUUUUAAAUAAAACAAUAUGGGGCUCGAAAUGUUUCUACUUGUGAACCUUAUGGUUGGGAAUUUUGUGGUUAGUUUGAUUUAAUAAAUAACAGAUUAGGUAGAAACAGGAAGAGCAAGAUGAGUUAAAAUUUUGCUUGAAAAUGCGGAGAGGAAAUCUUUUCGAAGCAACAAGGUAUGAAGUUGGUAAGAUAUGAAAAAUUGUAGUUCAUUUAUACACGAAAAAGGACUUAAAAGAUAGAUACGUACGGUACGUGAUAAAGAACAUGCCUGGAUUGACUUUGAACCGUUACCACAAUUUGACGUUAGCCAACAACUAAUUUGACCUAAUAUAGGAUUAAUGAUCAGCGGUGUUUCAAUUCUAACUUUUUGUUUUCUGGCUGGACUAGCCUUUCUAGAUUGUCAUAAAACAUUAACAUUCUGUAGGAAGAUUCUAUCUUAGAAGAAAGAGAAUGAGAAGAAAACUUGUCUGUAAACUAAAUAAAUAAGAUUCUGGUUUGGAAUCGGUUUUCUAGAAACAAAAGUUCCAACCAACUUUUCUAACAUAAUCUUAUUGUCGAAAGUGGAAAGCAGGUUCCAAAGUCAAUUGUAGUUGAGAAGACUAUGAUGACCUGAAGGCCAUUAUGCAUACAAAAUUGAAUGGAAGAGAAUAUGAAUAACCUGCACUGCUAACCAACACAUGUUUCCUGCUGUUUUAAGGUUAAAUGGCCAAAAUACAUUGUUUAGAGUUUUCGUUCAUAUUUACUGGAUUGAUGAAGAAAUUUCAGGUCUGAAGAGAAUAAGUUGGAUUCAGAAUGGAUGCCUGAAACCGGGCAUUUGAACUUUCAAAAUUAAGAGCCAGAAGCAAAAUGGGAAGGUGAGAUAUUCAUAGAAAAUGGAUAAUGGGGUUUAGAAUUAUAAGAUUUACUUUUUGUAGAAAGUUUCAUGCACAUGCUACAAGAGGCAUAUAGUGAUCAAUAUUGCUCUUAGGGUUGGGAACUAGAGUUCAGAGUUAAUAGAUAAUUUUAACAAGGCUCUAGUUAUUAGAUAAUGCAAAGCAUGUAGAGAGAGGGUCUGACCACAAGGUCAAUUGUUAUAGCAUGUUUGUCUCAGUUGGUAGGUCUGACAGUAAUUAGGAGAACUUUGAUAGCUUAUCGGUGGAGAUUACGGGAGUGUUAAACUUUUAGAAUGCACUAUAUAUUUGGAUCUGAUUGGAAAAUGACUUUUUUUUUUUGGAGAAUGCAGUUAUAUCAUUUAUAAACACAUCUAUCACUUACGUAUACUGCAGUUUCAGGAAAAUAGUGAAACUAAUUGGUUUUAAGUAGGUGUUGAAUGUAGGAGCUUUCUUUCACACAUACACAUAUCUCUCUGUCGCGAACUCAUGUACAUNNNNNNNNNNNNNNNNNNNNNNNNNNNNNNNNNNNNNNNNNNNNNNNNNNNNNNNNNNNNNNNNNNNNNNNNNNNNNNNNNNNNNNNNNNNNNNNNNNNNNNNNNNNNNNNNNNNNNNNNNNNNNNNNNNNNNNNNNNNNNNNNNNNNNNNNNNNNNNNNNNNNNNNNNNNNNNNNNNNNNNNNNNNNNNNNNNNNNNNNNNNNNNNNNNNNNNNNNNNNNNNNNNNNNNNNNNNNNNNNNNNNNNNNNNNNNNNNNNNNNNNNNNNNNNNNNNNNNNNNNNNNNNNNNNNNNNNNNNNNNNNNNNNNNNNNNNNNNNNNNNNNNNNNNNNNNNNNNNNNNNNNNNNNNNNNNNNNNNNNNNNNNNNNNNNNNNNNNNNNNNNNNNNNNNNNNNNNNNNNNNNNNNNNNNNNNNNNNNNNNNNNNNNNNNNNNNNNNNNNNNNNNNNNNNNNNNNNNNNNNNNNNNNNNNNNNNNNNNNNNNNNNNNNNNNNNNNNNNNNNNNNNNNNNNNNNNNNNNNNNNNNNNNNNNNNNNNNNNNNNNNNNNNNNNNNNNNNNNNNNNNNNNNNNNNNNNNNNNNNNNNNNNNNNNNNNNNNNNNNNNNNNNNNNNNNNNNNNNNNNNNNNNNNNNNNNNNNNNNNNNNNNNNNNNNNNNNNNNNNNNNNNNNNNNNNNNNNNNNNNNNNNNNNNNNNNNNNNNNNNNNNNNNNNNNNNNNNNNNNNNNNNNNNNNNNNNNNNNNNNNNNNNNNNNNNNNNNNNNNNNNNNNNNNNNNNNNAUAAAAAAGAGAACGGUACACAACAGCCUUAAGGAUCAUGGAGAAGAUACAGAAUGCAAUGUAAUUGUUAUCAAUUUUUUCAAGAACUGUUUUCCUAAGAUUUUUCAUGUGGUUUGGAGCUACUUCCUCCCAUGAUCUAUGUAAAUAUUAUGCCGAUAAUAUCUUUCUUGUUUCUCUUUUGUUUUUUACAACUGGAUAUGCUGCAUUCCUCUCCUUUGAUAUCUUUCUUCCUUUUUCACAAAGGAUACAGGGAUUUCAUUUUUCUUUUUCUUCUAAUUCAACUUAUCAAUUAUGGAAUCAGAAUGCUAUCACGCAUGUUAAAUAUUUGACGUCACUGCAUACCAUGUAUGUUGUUCUACUUAUAAGAGUGUUAGCUUUAUUCUCUGAUUUUGGGUGACUUAAAUUUGGAAGAGAAACUUCAAAGAUGUCCGAUGGAUGAAUUUGAAGAAGAUGGAUUUCCUUUCUGAUGUACAUGAAUGAAUUUUUUGUAAAGGUUGUUAAAACUGAAGAAGAGGGGGAAACAACUUAAAUAGUAUGUUACUUGGGAAAAGAUUAAUGCUUUGAUUUUGUGGGGCUAGGAAAAAACUUGGGCUACAUUUUUUAAAUGAAAACAUUUUCCAAUUUUCAUUUCUUAACUGCAUAUGUUUUAACAUUUUUGUAUACACGGUCAUAUGUGAGAUGUGAUGCUUAAAUAUAAACAAAAGUAGGUUCUAAAGAACACUAGAAUCUGUUUUUUAUUAUUUUAAAUUCACCUCAUGCUUUACUUUCAUUUCCUGAAUAUUGUUUUAUUCUCAGCUAUCAUCAAUGUUCUUACGUAUAUGUAUAUGAAUUUAUAACUUCACUUUGGAAAUACUUUCAUGUCAAAUGGAGACCAUUUUUUAUUUAUUAUUUUCCAAAUUUGUUUUCCGUAUCUUGAAAUUUCCUGUGUGCAUACAUGUAUGAACAUAUUAUUCUGAUAUCGGAACUCUGAAAUUCUCUCUUGAUAAGCACUAUGUUUAAUUUAAGCUAUUCCCCUUGUACCGCAGUUAAGUGUCAAAUUUAAUCUCAUAUGCCUUCAAUGAUUAUGGUUUUCAGGUCUUUUGGCAGAAACAAUCCUAGCGAGAGAGAGAAUUUAAAUCCGCAGCAACGUCCUCUUGCUGUGACACCUCUUAACAGCAUGCCAUACAUUGGACCACCUUCCCCACCUGGAAAUCCUUCUUCUUCGUCCUUGCCUACCCAAGCGGAGGAUGAUGCUGCAGAUGGAAGCGGGCCAACUGUGAUAUUUCUGCCUUCCAACGCACCUCAAGAGGAGGUGGAAAAUCUUGCAGCUCAAACACAAACUGGAGUUGUGCUGACUGGUAGUGCAGCUACAGGGAUGAUUGGACCAUCAGUUGGAGCAGUGAACAUUGGAGAAAAUGAGGAUUCGUACUAUUUUCGAGUUAACCUCCCUGGAGUAUCAACUGAUGAAAGUAAGUUUUCUUGAUGUUAACGUUUGACAAAUUACUUUGUUCGUGGUUCCUUCUUGCCAGCAGUAUUUCUCUUUAAAUUAUGCCAGGUGCUUCUACUCUGCUGGAAAAAAAAAAUCUUACCAUCUUUUUGUUUUCUGUACCUUAGAUAACGCUGAUGCAGGGAAAAGACUUAUAAGAGUUUAUGUAGUCUAGAGGUUUGCUUGUUGGUGUUUGCUUUAAAAUGAAGCACCUAUAAUGCAUAGCUAGUUCUUUUGCUAUGGUGCAGAAUUGAGGUUGCAAAGCAACAAGCAGGCUAACUGCUAUAAAGUUCAAGUUAGAUAUGCCAUGGAAAUAAAACCCGAAUCAUUUUAUUUUAUCUGCUCCAUUAUAUUAUUAACUUCCUGUUGUGCUUAAUGUGUCAAUCCACUUUGUGUAUGUAGAGGAUUUCAGCUUUACUAUUGACCCUGAUGGGACAGUAUUUAUCAAGGGAAUAACAACAACUGGGGAGAAAACAGUCUGCAAGCACUCCCAAGUCUUCAGGAUGCUGUCUCAAAAUUUAUGCCCACCAGGUCACUUCACCGUUACGAUUCAGCUACCUGGUCCUGUCAACAAUCAAGAAUUCAAGGGUCAUUUCGGAACUGGGAUUCUUGAAGGUGUAGUGAAGAAAAGGUUGGCAUAGUGUCCAACUUAAUUAGCAAGCUUUAUACUUGUUGUCAAAUGAAGGUCACUAGGGGCUUCUAUUCUAGUUGUGUGCCAUCUGCUUUCUCUUGGACAUUUGGAGUUGACUAACUAAUAAGGUCUUAAACAUAACUAUAGGCUUUUCUACAUUAACAAUGAAAAAACGACCCAAAUUCAAGAAUACUGUGCACUAUCUGCUCUCUCUUAUGAUUUUGAAGUCCGCUUAUUUUCCAUAGAUACUAGGAAAAGCUGAUAUUUAGAAAAGUCAACUCCUACUGGUUAAAGAGAAAGAUGUUGAGGCGUGACGCACUGGUACAAGUCCUACUGAUCUUUGCUUUGUCAAGAGAUAAAUGCUUGCUAAUUGGUCACUGUAAAAAUUGGGUAUAGACAUGGUUGCCUUGAUAGGGUUGUGGUAUAGCUUCUAGAAUAGCGAAAAGUGCUCUCAAAUAAAUGUUUUCUGUUGUGUUUGUUGUAAAACUUGGUCCAGUCAGAACUCUUUUGUUGGAAGUUUCAAACUAUUAUCAUAAUAAUCUAUUUGAAAUCCUUGUUUACAUUAUUGCAUUUCUGCUUUCUCUACUUGUUAAUUGUUGAAGCUUCAUGAUCAAUCUCAGUUCCUCAAAACUUAGGAAUGUUGGUCUCUUGUCAGAUUCUUUGCUCAUUUUGUGGGAACAAGGGCUACCCCUGUAGCUACUCUAUGUGCAUUACUAUCAUCAGAGUAAGAUUUGGCCAUUAAAUGUUUCUGUUUGAAUCAUAAUGACUAUUUGUAAUCAUAGUGAUUGCCUUUUACGAGCUUGUUCCAUCGAACGCAAAAGAUAAUUUUUGCACCUGGUUCAUGUUUGAAGUGCCAAUCAUAUUCUUCCUGUUUAUUUCCAUUUUGGAGAAGAUUGGUGUGAAGGAUGCUUUAUUUGCAUGGUAAAACAAUGGCUUAGAACGUUCUAAAAAUAACUUUUGCCCUCUUUUUGUAAGUAAAGGUGUUUAUUUUUUCUUGCUAGAUGAAGUAUGCAUAAGGAUGUGUAUAUAGGCUACUCAAAUUGGGAAUAGAGCCAAUUGUAAACAAUUAGAAAAUAGUCCACUUCAUAGGUAGUAUUAUAUAUAACAACUAAAAACAUGUGUACUAAUCUUGUUACCACAACAUCAUAAGAUGAAUUUUACAUAUUUUUUCUUAUUUUGUUUUAUAAUUUUACAUGAUAUGUGGAUUGAAAUUGCUACUUGACAACACAGGGAUCGUAGUCCAGUGUACUCUUUGAAAUGAGAGAGAACGGUAUCAUAAUAUUUCUUCAUGUUCUUUUUCUGCUGUUAACAAAGCAUCGAACUGAUUCGGUUUCUGUCAAUGAAAAUCUUGAAAAUAAGAACAACAAUGGAGAGCUUGAGAAGGAAAUAAUGGGAUUCACAGCUCCAUUAAUAGCUUCCUAAAUCCAACUUGGGCUCACUGCAAAAUAGCCUUUAUUUACAUAGCUAUCUCAAGGAACCUCCAUGGAGAGUGAAACAUCAUGUCUUGCUUAAUCUGGAUCCUACAUAAUUGAAGAGAAAUCCAAGAGGCCGAAGAAAGAAAAACAGAGAAAAAAAAGAACAAAAAAAUAAUGGAGUUCUUUGUUAAAAAUCUCUCUCAGUAGAAUCUUCUUCUACCUUUUCUUUUGCUUCCCUUCACAGUGUUCACAAUAGCCGAGCAAACCCUACUGUUCUCAACCCGCUUCAUCAAAUGCUCUCUUUUAAAUCCCAGGCUCACCACAGCACCAAAACAACAAAACCCAAAGACCCAAUCUUUAAACCCUAAUUUCCACCCCUUGAUGAAAUUUGCCCCAAUCAAGCACAAACCCAACACCCCCAGCGACCGACCACUUAACUCCAUCCCCAACACGAAGCACAAGAUGCAAAGCCCAAAAGAAACCCAAAUCCCCAACAUUCUCUUCUUCCUUUUUCUUCUCCACCCAUCAAAUCCUCCUCCUCCUCCAAAACCUUUCAGAAAACCCAAUCCACCUCCGUCUCCACCGCCAAAUUCACUGAGAACCAGAUCGAGCGGCCGUGGCAAAAUCUUUGAAUUGGAGACGAGAAACGAAACCAGUUCGAGUAUAAUUUCUCUUGAUCGUCGAGACCCAGAUCGCGUUCUGUUCUUUCUUGCACACGUAAUUGCAUUUCGGCAACGGGUUUGAUGUGGAAAUGAGAGAGAGGAGCGAAGAACUGGAGAUUUUGCCGCGAAUGAGGUCACCCAAUGACAAUCUGCAGUCGGUUUUAAAAGAAAAUUUUGGUCUGGAAGAAGAAAUCUGAAAUUGAAGUGAAGGGUGUUCUGCAUUUUGUAAAGAAGAGAGUAUGGAGGAGAAGCGAUGACCGUUGCUUAUUUUGAAUUUUUCUGCGCGAGUUCGAGGAGUCAAAGAUUUUCAGAUGGGUUCAGAGCAAAACAACGAAUAAUUUUUUGAGAGAAGAAAUUAGUAAUUCAUUUAAACCGUAAAUGAAAUUUCUUUAAUUCUUUUAAAAAAGGAAAAUAUUACCAAUAUUUUUAUUCAAUUCAAAAUUAAAUUAGUUCAACUCAUAUUCCCAAAUUCAUAAUAAUAAACUUCUAAUUUUAUGAAAUAAUAGCAAAAACGUCUGACUUAAUUAGAGUUUAAAACCUACAUUUUAAAUUAAAUAACUUUAUGAACAUAAAUCCAAAAGUAUGCAUGCACCAACAGCUGUAUAUCAUAUUAUUUAUUUAAUAUAUAUAUAUAUAUAUAAGCCAACAUUAUUAACUAGUAAAUGUCUGGGGGCCAACAUAUAUUUUUCAAGCCUGCACUUUUAUUUGCUUUUUAAGCCCAAGAGAGUGAAACGUGUUAACAAAAUCAAUGCUAAAAAUUGACUUUUUAGUGGAUAAGAAAUUGUAAUAAUAUAAAACUAAGUAAACAAGAUAUACCAAAACUCAAAUACCAACUUCUGAAUUUGCAAGAACCAUGAGUUUCUAUCCAUGAAAUCUUUAUUCCAUGCAGUGAAAUAGCCUCUUGAGCUUUUAAAACUGCACUAAGCUCUCCUUCUUGCCGUAUCAAUUACUCUAAAACAACAUUUCCAUUGUAAGUGUGGAGGCAAAUAGAAUAGAACUGGUCAAGCAAAUUGUACAAAUUUUCUGCCAUGCAAAUAACAUGAUUCAUCAAUUCAACUUUGAUAUAUAACCCUCUGGAGAAAGACUGCUGAUAGAGACUUCUUUCAUUUGUGUCCUCCACACUAGUGGAUGAGAAUGUUGAACAAAUAUUGUCAAGUCAUCUUGGCUCCAUUUUCUCCACGCUUAUCAUGUAUGGUGACAGGAGAAGGCAAAAGGCAACAAACCUUAUUAAUGGCAAACCCACUUUUACCUUUCCGAAUAAGCACUGGGUAGGUGAACUGUGGCGGUAUUUAUAAGGACUUAGCUGCGUAUAUGCGUGCAUUUCUAUGCACGAGAUAAAGGAUGAAGCUUUAAAGAGUGAAGUACAGGGCUGUGACUCCUGGUUCUAGACAAGAACAUUGCAAUACUGCCAUGGGAAGAAGUGUUGAGAGGGCAAUUCCCGUGUCUGGUUUGGUGCCUGGGGAAAAGCCUAACCAGUGUGUCAUCUUCCCGGUUAGUACCAGUAUGGUUGCUGAAGCACUGGAAAGAACAAAUCAGAGCUGGUAAGGGUCAGCGUAUAUGCAUAUAUACGUCUUUGUGUGUGUGUUUUCUGCCAUGUGAUAAAUUAAAACAAACGAGUCAAAAGUAUAAAUGUACAAAAGGCAGAAUUUAUAUGGUUCUAUCAAAGUUAUCUAUUUCAUAAGAGAAUGAAUCUGGAUUCACUAUAAUUUUUUUUGAAGAUUAUGAUGUGAUUCUCUCAAUCAAAUCUGAGGUCUAAUAUACCAAAAUCUCCCAAAAUAGUUAAGAUACCAAUUAUCAGGGUAAAUUUACACACAUUCACCCACAUACACAUAUGCAUAGGCUACACUGUAAGAAAUAGCUUCACCCGCCUCUCAAAACCUGUUAAUGUCUCAACAAGAUUUAACUAUAUCUAUUUGUAUUUAAUCCCAUAAAAUCCAGACAUACUCUAAAAAUAAGACACUCUAUAUAUGUUCAUAUGAAAAAUUAGGCGAUGCUAACAAUGAUGAUGCUUUGUUGUCUAAGCUAAUACUCACCAUGUGGCAUGCAGGAUUGUUAGGACAAAAGCUGCGAGCGAUCUGAUUGUGCUGAUUGAUGGUUCAAGCUUUCACUUGCACAAGGUGAGUGAUGUAUCUUUCUGAUUGAACAGGAAACAUAUGAGUAAUCUCACCGCUUUCAUUUCAAUAAAAUAAAAACAAUUUGCCCGGGCCUGAGAGAAGCCCAUGGUCAUCUAGUCCCUGCAUCUGAUCUGCAGUAGCAUACAAGCAGAGAAUAGCUUUAGAAAUUUAGAACAAACCUGCUAAAGAUGUAUCUAAUCAUUGUUGGAUAUUCAAAGAAGAAACUUCUGGUACAGAUCCUUUUGAAAAAUUUUAGGCCAUGUUUAGUUGCGAAAAACAAUUUUGAACAAAAGAUACCUCUUUUCACUAUCAUUUUUCAAGAUUUGGAGAAUGAUAGUGAAAGUACAGCAUGAGCUUACAAAGGAAUGAUAAUGUUUUUUCUCCAACUCGUGCUAAUUUUUUACCAUAAUUCUUUUUCGUGUGUUUAGCUACCGAUGGUCUCAAGAAGUGGAUAUCUAAAUAGAAUUGUGUUCCAGAGAACAAGCAAUAUGGAGAAAAGAACCAGCACCUGUAUCCAGAUAGAUGAUCUUCCGGGUGGACCUGAAGUUUUUGAAUUGGUGGUAAAAUUCUGUUAUGGAUGGAAGGUUGAGGUAGUAGCAUCCAAUGUUGCUCCACUACUCUGUGCUGCAAGUUUCUUGGAGAUGAGUGAUGAUCUUGAACCAGGAAAUCUCAUCUCCAAAACUGAAUCUUUUCUUAGCUUUGUAAUACUUACAUCUUGGAAAGAAACAUUUCAGAUCUUCAAGAGUUGCGAGUCCAUAUCUUCAUGGGCUAAAGAUUUGCAGAUCUUGAAACGAUGCUCAGAAGCUGUUGCUUGGAAGGCCUGCAUAAAUCCCAAAACAUUUCACUUUGAAGACAAUAAUGCACAAUGUUUAAACUUUCUCGUGGAUAAUAAUAGCAAAGCAAAAGUUGAAGAUAUAGCUGAUAACUGGUGGUUUGAAGAUGUUUCAGCCCUCCGAAUAGAUCAUUUCAUCGAAGUGAUUGAAUUGAUUAAGACUAAAGGGAUGAAAUCAGGGCUGGUAGGAUCCUGUAUAGCUCACUGGACCUCAAACUGGCUUUCAAGAAUCACUGUAGGAAUUGACAACCAGACUCCCAUGCAUAUGAGACAACAGUUGCUAAGAGUUACAACUGAAAGUUUGAUAAGGAUUCUGCCAGCAGAAGAAAAUUCUGUUUCUUGCAACUUUCUACUGUAUCUUUUUAAAUUGGGUUUAAUGAUGAACGUGAAUUGUCAACUGUUGAAUAAGCUGGAGAAAAGACUAUCUUUCCUGCUGGAAAAAUGUCGUGUUCCAGAUCUCUUGGUUAAGAAUCAUGGAGAAAAUGAUAGUGUGUAUGAUGUGGAAAUCAUCAUCAAGGUUGUGAAAUCUUAUGCUUCUUCUGUCUUGGGAAAUUCUGAAUCAAGAAUAUUUGCAGUUGGAAAAUUGGUGGAUGGAUUUUUAACCCUAGUUGCCAGGGAUAAGAAUCUUACAAUUCAAAACUUCCACUCACUAAUAGAAGCAUUGCCUAGAAGAGCUCGCCAUUGCCAUGAUAAACUUUACAGAGCAAUAGACAUGUAUCUGAAGGUAUGAACUAUUUCUUAAGUGCAGUAUUCUAGAUCAUUGUUCAAGCUCUAGCAAUCCCUCAGUAAUUAUUUCUUCAGUUGUGUUUAGUUCAGAUAUAUUAUAUUUUCUAUUUGAUUUUUAGAUCUUAAUUAUAUUUUUCAAUUGCACAGUAAUAGAUAUGUAUUUUCACUUGUUAAGGGAAUAAUCACAAAAGAUACCUUAUUUGAAUUUGAUGUAGAACUAUAAUACCAUUUUUGUUCAAAUUUUUAUCAUAAUAUAUUGUAUUUCUUUUUCCAUUUCAUAGAACUAAAACUUGAACCAACUUAACCUUAGUUUAUCAUGUAGGCGCAUCCUAACUUAACAGAAGAAGAAAGAACAAGUGCGACUAGAGCCAUGGAAUAUCAUAAACUAUCACAAGAAGCACGCCAGCAUGCGAUGAUCAACAACCGGCUACCCUUAAAAACUACGAUACAAUUUACCCUUCUUGAACAAUUAAAUAUGACAAAUUCAAUGACAGCUGCAGGAUUAAACUACAGAAGAACAACGACUCAGACAAAUACAAAAGCAAGUGGAGGUUCUGAGAAGGGAUGGACAGCGCCACAGCAUGAGAUCAGGGUGAUGAAAAAAGAAGUUGAGACAAUGAAGAUUCAACUCAAUAAAUUGCAAACGUGUAAACGAGAGAUCCAGAGACAAGCAAGGAGAUGCAUCACAGACAAAAUGAAGCUUGGUAAAAUUGAACCAGUGUAAGCUUUAUUUCAGUGUGGUUUGAAUCUGUUUUGGCAUUUGUUUCUGAUGGAGUGAAAUGUAACAUUUUCGCACUUAUACCUAUCCUACUCUUCUGAUACUAACACUAUGAGCAGUGCCUUAAAUAAUGAUACUAGUUUUUGCCAUUUUGAGAUGUCUUCAAAUUACUACUCAGUAAUUCCUAGUAUGGAAGAAUCCUUAUAACUCGGGGUGGAAAUUUUUUUAUCCAGGCCACAAAGGUUCUGACAUGAAAUUGCAGAUGCUCGGUGACUGAAAAUUCAAGCUAUAUAAUCUGUUAACUUAAAUUCACCGAAGGCACAAACUUCAGUCAUAGACCCUUGCUAUGUCAAUUAAAACUAGAAAAAGCUAAGCAUUUGAAAGCCUCUAUAUCUGCAUUUGAGAAGAAUUACAAACAUGAUAAAAUAAAAGGACAAAGCAUUCGGGUUAUACUAUAAUCAACAACAUCUGGCAAAUGUGACAAGUAUGGCUUAAAAUGUUUUGAACUAGCUUAUUGUUAUAUCCUAGUCCAAAAAUACACCUAUAUGGUUAUAGGUGGAGUUGUCCAGUUAUAUAUAAACCAUUGUAAAUGGUUAUACUUUGUUCAUGUGGAAGUAUAUCUCUUAAUACCCUGAUACUCCAAUACUUAGUCGAGAUUGGAUCCCCCAAAUAUCUACAAAUUGAGUUAGAGUUGUUGGAUGUGGAAAGAACUCAAGACAAGAUUAGUGACUUCAAGAACUCAUUCGACACAGUAGAGCCAAGAGCAUACUGGAUGUAAAACUUGCAUUCUUAUCUGGCAUGCUGUUUCGACAAAUAAGUAAGUCAUUUUGUAUUAUCUUCCAAUUGGCCAAGAGCCUAGAGGCAAUAGAUAGCAGCUAUAUAGGUUCAUAUAUGGUUAAGAGUUAUCCAAUGGCUCUCCUCAAUAACCAAACAAUUUAGUAAUGCAUCACAUAAGAUGCACUUCCAAACAAGUGAAAUCUACUAAUGCAUCACAGAGUAGAGUCAUUCAGAUAUCCAGUGCUACUAAUGCAGUCAACAAACAAGUGAAAUGUCUCACUUCACCCUCAUUUCUAAUCCUUGAAUCAAAGAAAUUUUAGCUAACCUUCUACAAUCAUGCACAUCUUCUCCAAGCAAUUUCUGUUGCUUUGAUGACUAACGUUUUUAUGGAAGUUCCUUCAAGAAAUCUAGAUGUUUCAAAUCUUAUACAAGUCGGACUUGCCUAAUUAGAUAAUUUAAUUAAUCAUCAAUCGAAAAUGUUUCUGUUUUUAAGAAUGAUUAAUGAUGUGGCCAUAAGAUGUCUGCAGAUCUUACCUCCUACGGAUAUUUGGAUGAUUAUAGCUAUAUGUUAAUGUCAUAUUAUAUUAAUCUUCAAUUUCAUGUGCUGUAAUCCUUUCACUAUAGUGCUCUACUCUAACCGCAUAAAUUACAUAUAUAUUUUUUAAAUAUUCAUAAAUUAUAAUUUUAUUCCACAGCUGGAUAUGAUUCAAAUUUCAGACAAAAAUGGAAGUAAGAAAAUGCCAUUUCAAGAAAUGUUUUAGCCAUUACACUCCGCCCAAUUAUGGUUAUGAAAUUAUGCCAUGUUCAUGUAUGGGAAUUAUAUAGUUGGACAAAAGCUAUAGAAGGAAAAACAUUGAAAACAAGAAAGAUUUACUACUGGUACAACAUCUAAUAUAUAGUCUGGUUUCAUGAUUUCCAGACAGCUCCUAAUAUUCUCCAUUUUCUUCUUUUUCUUUUUUGUUUUGAUCGGCCAUGGUGACAUUGAAGGAUCNNNNNNNNNNNNNNNNNNNNNNNNNNNNNNNNNNNNNNNNNNNNNNNNNNNNNNNNNNNNNNNNNNNNNNNNNNNNNNNNNNNNNNNNNNNNNNNNNNNNNNNNNNNNNNNNNNNNNNNNNNNNNNNUCCAGAUAUCGAGUAUAUAAGAAAAAGAAUUUCCUCCACUAUCAACAUAACAAUGACAGAUUGUCUUUGUGACAAUCAUCAGAGAUCAAGGAAUGAGUUCUUUUAUUCAAUUGAGCCUUUCAGGGAAAUUCAAAAGAAAAGAAACCUCAGGUGCAAUGUUGAAAUUGGUUUUCGCUGGUCUGGCAGCAGCGAGACUGGCAACCAAUUUGAGUUCUCAGUUCUUUAUGACCCUUGGAUGAUUAUUUUUUUUUUAGCAACCGUAUCAAAUAUUCCAGCGUCCUAGAACUUAAGAGGUACGAAAAUUCCGAAACCAAAUAAAUAUCCAUAUUUUAUAUAUAUCUAAUAUAUUACACAGCCUAAAAACAUUUAAUUACCUAAUACCUUGCAAAUUACAACUGUCUUUCCUUUAUGCAGGGUGAGUAAAGAUGAAUCAAAUCAGAGUCAAUAUUGAAUCAACAGAAAAAAGAUUUUGCAAAGAUAGUUACCUUGUUCAGAAUGCAGAGAACUCCAGCAAUGUUUUGGAGCAUUGUUUCUCCAGCUGUUUUUUUUCCUUUUUCUUCCUUUUCUCUCAUUUUUGUUUAUGUAAUAAAUACCUGUCCUGAUACAUUUUAUGUUGAAUUAGAAUAUUAAUAUAUACAUACAUAUAUUCCUGAUUUCAGGAUUUGAUGUGAAAUUAUAUGCUUUUCCUGAUAAGUUAUGGUAAGGCUUAAGGUCCAGAGAGGACAUCACUCUAGCCAAUUACCAAAUUCUUGUUCUCUGUUUUUUUGCAAGGUUUUUUAAAAAGGAUUUAGAUUAUGCUUGAAGAAUUCAGAUUGCCAAGGAAAAGGAUAUAAUGGAUGUCUGGAAAUCACACUUAGAUUAGUGAAUUUGUUAUGAACAAUUUUUAGUAAAAAAUAAGUAUAACAAUAAUUAAAAUUAUGGGUCUCAAACUCUGAACUAGUAAAAAUCAAAGUGUGUGCUUCUAAAAUUUGUCUUAAAGAAAAAGAACAAGAACAAAAACAAAACAGAACAGAAGAAAAACAGAGACGCUUACAAAACGGUGUCGUAGCCUCCAUCUACAUGAACAGGCACGAUAUGUAUUAGUUGCUGCGAUAAAGAAGGGAAGCAGAAGAUGGAGCGGGAGGGGGAAGAGCCUAACCAGAGUGGAUCUCGCUCUUCGGAGGAUCCAAACCCGUGUCCAAUAUGCCUCGCACCGAUGGAUCGAGAAGCCUAUCUCGACAUGUGUUUCCGUACGUCUCUCUCACCCUUUACUUCUCUCUAACCGUUUGUUUGGUUGCAGAGAAAAAACUUAGGAAAAGGAGAAGAAAAACGGCAAUUGGAUAUCCAAAAUGAUCAUUUUUGGGUAUUUCUAGUUUAGAUCGGAAAUCGGGUUUGCGCAUCUCGCAACGUGUCUUUUUGGAAAUUCCUAGCGGACUUUCGAAACGUUUCGUUUGUCCCUCUCCCAUUUAACAUGUAGUUUGGUAGCCAAUAAAAUAAUAAAAAAAAUAUCGUUUAUGUUCUCUUAUUGGAGUCCUGGGGCAUACAAAAAAGACACUGUGAAGUGGGGAGCCUUGAUCUCUCACCCGUUAUUGAAAAGGAGAAAAGUUUAGAAAGGCUCGUGGUUGUGGUUAUAGUUUGAAGUUUCUAUGGGACUGGCAAACUAUUCCAACAUCUGGAGCAGAUUUCUUCAUGGUUGAAGAUGAAUUAGUUUUGUAUAUUGAUAGAAAUUUGAAGACUUCAAAUUCUUACUCCUAAAAUUAACAAAAUAUGCAUUUAAUGCUUUAUUUAUAUUGAUUGAUGUCGUUCAUUAUCAUUAUUGAGCAGUCAAAUUUUCUAAAUAUCAUCUUAGUGUUAUAUUGUAGAAGUUCCAUUGUGUUUGCAGAUAAGUUCUGUUACAAUUGCAUUGUACAUUGGACUGAAGUGAGUGCCAGAAAGCAUUCUUGCUCACCUUCUUUUGUAAAAUGCCCUCUGUGUAAGGUUUGCUCUGUUUAUAUAUAAUAUCUAUUUUGUUUGUGAUACAUGCAAUACUUCUUUAUGCUCCCAUGGGAUAGAGGUGAAGAAUAUGUGUGCGUAUGGAUGGAGGGGUUACUAUGCAUCUUUGUAGCUUUCUGCAUAAUAGCUUUGUAGAUUAUUUCCCUUUUUUUUUUAAUGAGCUUGAAAGAUACAAAAUCUGGAAUAGAAAGAAAUUCGAGUACAAGCAAGUGUUGAUACCUUUAAAAACAAUUGAGUGUGAUCAUACCAGUAUUUAUGUACCGUAUCCCAUCUGAAUUCUGUAAGCUUGCUUGGACAAGAGUAGUAUUAGGAUAGAUGAUCUUCUGGGAAGUUUUCGCGUUGCAAAUUAUUUUUAAAAAUAUAUAUCUUUAAAAAAAUUGCUGCUGAUGGUUCUGUGCUUCAACAAACUUGCAGAAGGAAAACUUUUCAAUCAUUCAUGGCUUUGAUGGGAGUUCUUUCGAAAGGCACUAUGUUAAUCAAACUUUUGGGAAUGGGUAUAAUUUUGACGAUUGACUUCUUUUGUUUGAGCUCAUAUUGAUAUCAUUAGGAAGCUUUUGCUAACUAUACUCUUAUAUCCCUGCAGUUUUCUUCUUUCUAGAGCACACAAGUAUAGGUUACAAUGCUAUUACACCGAACCAGGUUCUUCACUUAUUUCAUCUCAAUGUUGCAUUGCUUGCUGCUUUAUGUAUAAAUAUAUCUUUAAUUUUCUGACAAACAACUAUAUCUGGAUUUUUAUAUAUGGCUUUUCAGUCAUUUAUCUAUUCAUUUAGGUAUCCUAAACGACAUUUUUGAUGUACCAUGGUAUUGGAAAUCUCGCAAGUAUGUUCAGGCAAAUCAGUGGCUCCUAAAUUGGUUGAGAAGGGAAAUUCAAGCUUUGGUGCUGGUCUGUACGUGUCUGUAUUUUUGCAUUAACAAGUUUCUCUCUUUCCCCUUCCAGUCAACCGUAUUUCUUUUAUGUUGUUUUGUUAAUAAAUACACGAUCAAUUACAAUCGAAGAAAAUGAUGGAAUUCUGUUAAUCUUAGGCUAUAUGUCUAACGAAUUAAGUUAUUUAGUGGAAUUUUUUUAGAAUGCAUUCUUAUUUUAGAUAGGGGAAAAUAUAACGGAUUCUAAUUUCAAUCAAUUUUGAUGAUUUUUGAAAUAUGUUGUUCAAGUUUAAUGUUACAUGUGAUAUCUACCAAGAUUUGAAGUCUUGUUCACCUGAAAUUUCAUUCAUGAAAUGCUUACUUUUCUUCUGUGCCCUGGAUAAACAGAGGGUUGCCUUGCAAAUUUUGAUUACUCUAUAUUUGCUUUUGUUGUCUUACUAUAUAUCUGGUCAAUUACCUAGUAUUACUGACUCUUGUCUUUCUACUUUAACACAUAGGACGAAGAUGUGGAAAUCAUUGCACAUCACAUACUUGACACGAUUGAUUCAUUCCGGAGAAGGUAAUGAGCCACUACUGUACUAUUGAUAUUGUUUUGCCCCUUAGUUCACCAAAAAAUGGUAGAAGAUUCAGUUAAACUAUGCUCUAUUGAACUUUUAAGACUUGAGUGUAUUUGAAUUGGCUUAUUAUUUUGGUAUUUUAAAUACAUAGGAAAUCUAAUUCCUAAUAACUUCAAGUUUCUUGUAUCUUAAGCUGGAAAAGUGUUUGAGCAUUCUGACUUUUUCUUCAGCAUUGAGACUCUUAACAAGCUACUAAAUGUUUGGUAAAGAUAAAGCUUUAGUAUGAAAACUUUAUUAAAAUAAUCAAAAAGAAUAAUUAGUUACUCUUUUAUUAAAAUUAUUAAGCUAUAAUACUUUGCUUUAGUAAGAGGUAUUUGGUUAAAAAAUAGUUGGUGAAGGACUUCCAAGUUUUCCAGUUAAAAGCUCUGAAAAAGAGGGGGUCUUGGAGCUUUUUUUGUUUGCUAAAAGUUCUAUAGCUUUUAGCACUUUUAUGAUUAACCCAAAUGACUUAUUAAUCAUUUUUAACCAAAAUAUGGUUCAAGCAUUUUGCUCUCCAAUCCAAACACCCUUCUCGUAAAAUCUGCAUAAACGUGCAUUUAUCUUGUGUAUUUUUCCUUCCAAUCCUAGAAAUGAGCAGAAGCAUAAAACAGGAACACCUGAAACAAAACAAGAAGAAUUCAAGCUUCUAGUAUCUGAUGCCGCUAGGCGUUUUCUGAUGGCAAGAACAGAUCGUUUCGUGCACGAGCUGGAGCUUUUUCUUGCUUCUGGUUUCAACCUUGAGGCUUAUGAUGCAGUUUAUAUGCAGCGAUUGGGUUGGAACACACCCAGAGGGACCACAGUGGUUGCAGAAGAAGAACAUAAUCAAUCUGUGAUCCCGUAUUUAUACAUCUUUGAUGAUGAGUCCGAUGAAGCUGAUUGAUAGUUUGCUUCAUAGUGUCUUAGUACUUCAAUGUUUUCUUGUCAUUUGAAUAUCAUCUUAAUUUUACUUUUGAUUAAGCUCUAUACUUUUUGGAAUUAGUCUAAAUUUUCUGAAUAUCAUUUUGAUGCUAUCCGACCAAUUAGUGUAUCGCUGGCUAAUUAAUACGUUUUUUAUUCUGUAAGAGAUUGUAAGUUUGAAUCAGAUUAUUAUUUUUAUAUAUUUUGAGUAAAGAUUAUGUUGUAAUAGAUUUUAAAAAAAAUUUUAAUGUUAUCUGAAUGUGCUGAUGGGAUUGUUGUGGGGAGGUAUUCGUGUUUUAAAAAUGGAAGUAUUAUUUAUUUCUACUUGAAUCCAACUAUUAUAAUUCUCUUCUUCUCAAGCUAAAAUUGCCUGGUGAUCAUGCAACUCGGGUCGGGCCGGGUGUGCCAAAACGGGCUGCCCGUUUUUAUCGGGCCGGUUCACGCUAUUUUAUAAGAAUUAUUGGUUGGUCGCUUCUUGACGUCGUGUCCAUUUUUCUCUCUUAUCGUCAUCCUUUGGCUCUUUUACUUUCUCAUUGAUCAAACUGAUCGUAGCUUCGCCAUUGUUAACCAGAAAUCCAGGCGGUCCAAGUCACAAGUAAUGCUAAGCUGAAAGUAGGUAGUACAUAAAAUUUCCGCCAAUUCACCACUCUCUAUCUGCAUUGGCGUAUCGGACAGCGCUAGGAAAUGGCUAGGGACCCCGAUUACGGAGCUUUCAUGGAGAAGUUCACCGUAACUCCGAGCUCAACUACUCAGAAACUUCCUUUGACUGGGCUCACUUUUGCUGUUAAGGACAUGUGAGUUCCCUAUUUAAACACAAAAUGCUGUUUAUCUCUCUGUUUCAUCUCCUGGUUUCAGCUCUUUUCUUAUAUCGGUAAUAGUACUACACGAUAUUUUGAGCUCUCACCGUAGCUUUGGUUAGGAUCUAGUAAUGAGUAUGGUUGUUUCUGCCGAUGUGGAAGAAUAUAUGUUGUUUCAUACGAUAAUUUCUGAAUUUGGUUCUAUUUUCCUUCAAUUUCUUGGUUACCAAUCAAGUUUUCGCCAUUAGUUUAUCUCAUUUUUUUUUUGUUCUUUUUCCAGUUGGAAAAAAGUGUGUGGUUGAUCUUUGUAAGUUGAAAUUUGAAAGCAGAUUUGAUGUGGAUGGAUAUGUGACUGGGUUUGGAAACCCUGAUUGGGCUAGGACUCAUUCAGCUGCCACAUCAACAGCUUCUGCUGUUUUGGCCGUCUUAGAGGCUGGUGCCGCAUGUGUUGGUAAAACUGUCAUGGAUGAAAUGGCAUACAGGUCAGGGUUCUUAAGUAUUCCUUUCAUUCACCCAUAAAGAACUUGAUUCGUCUAGCCUAACAUAAUCAUAGCCCUUUUUUUUGGCUAUGUGUUAUUCUACUGUUGUGGUCGAAUUAUCAUUAAGGAUGGUGCUUGCACGUCUCAGGUUACAUGGAGUUUAUCUAGUUUUUACAACAUGAUUAGCUGUUUGUUAAGAUUGAUAAGUUUGUUGCUCUAUCUUGAUCAAUGAAUGACAUGAUAAUCCUCAGUAGUUAUCAAGUGAUUUCUGGCCAAGCAUUCAGAAUAUUGAGUAUGUUUAGAAAAAUGCUAGCAUAACUCCAAGACAUAAUGCUACCAAACAUAGUUACGUAAAAUGCAUGUAAUCCAAAUCGUGGUGCGGGAUGUAGGUAUGAAACACAGUAGACACCGAAUUUAGGUUCCAAGGGGUAGGCUUUGUUGGUACAUUAUUUUGAUUAGAAGAUUCAUUGAACCGUUUAUUAAGUUUACUAUUUGGAUCAUAAGUAAUAGUCUGGUAAUCCAUUAUGCUCUAUUGGUUCUUGUUCUUUCUCUGUAAACAGAUUUAGCAAUCAAAUCCUUUUAGUUGCUACAACAAGAAUAUCAAUACUUUUUUUUAAAAUAAUAUCAACACUCAUGUUAAAAUUCCUAAACAACUGAGUUAAUGUAUUACAGGGAUUUAAAGAAUGACAAUCAAUAUGUUUUAAGUUUUGAGAGAAUGAAACUCUUGCUCUUCACUUGGACACAUACUUCUUCCAUUUUACUCAUAACUAAUCUCAAUUUUGAUUAAAAAAAAAUUAUGUUGGAAUAAACUUUUCACUCUCUCUUUCUUUGCCUUCUUCCUCUCACUAUUUCUUGGAUCCCGUUCUACUGACUUGCCCCAAUACAUGUAAAUGCAUGGUCCCUUGGAAAUCCGAAUCAAGAAACAAAAUGAACCCAAGUGAACACCUAGCAUGAACCACUUAAAAAAAUUUGGUGCGUAAAAUUGCUGGGAGUCGCAGACCUGGUAACUAUGUUUCAGAAGAUGGAUAACAAAGAUUUAUUAACUAAUUAGUGUUUUGUUUGUUUUUCAGUGUUAGGACCUUUUGUAUUUUAAUUAAAGGCUGAAACUGUUGGAAGCAUAACAUCCAUAUUUAAGACCUAGAAAAGAUGAAACAGUAAAAGAAACUGAUCACAUGAUUUCUGCGAUUCUAAAAACUCAAAUUUUCUAGAAGAUACAUGAAGUCUUCUGACUGUUCAAUGGAUGCCUGCUGAGUCCAUAAACAAAUCCAUCUUUGGCAGUAUAAAUGGAGAAAAUAAACAUUAUGGGACACCUACAAAUCCAUGUGCACGUGAUAGGGUGCCUGGUGGAUCUUCUAGCGGAUCUGCUGUUGCUGUAGGUGCAAAGCUUGUAGAUUUCUCUCUUGGUUGGUUUUCUUCUUGAAAAUUAUCUUUCCGUUUUAAUCUUUUUCAAAUUUUUGAGUAAAAUUCAUUGUUACUACAGGAACUGAUACCGGAGGGAGUGUUAGAAUCCCGGCCUCAUAUUGCGGAAUAUUCGGUUUCCGUCCUUCACAUAAUGCUGUUUCAACUGCUGGAGUUAUUCCUAUGGCACAGAGUUUUGAUACUGUGGGUAAGGAAUUAAUAGUGCUGUCAUUGCCUAAACUUUAUUAUGUCAUUGAAAUGUUGGGAGGAAAAUUUGCUCUUAGAUGAAUACACCUCAAAAUUCUAACCUGCAGAUUAUGGUCUCAAAUGGUAACUUUAGUGUACUUGUUUGUGAGAACCUCAUUUGUGGAAUUUAUAUGAAAAUCCAAAAAGGAUGAAAAUCCAGAGCUAAAUAUGCUUAAUAAUACAUAAAGAUUAUAAUUACAUAAACAUCUUUUACUUAUGAGCUAUUUGUUCUGUGGGUUUUUUUGGAAGGAAAGAAACAUGAAGGUUUUUGAGAACAUAAUUUUCUUUUGAUAGGAUUAAGGAUGUCUGACACUGGACCCUUGUUUUUUGAUAAAAAGGUAAUACUUUAUGUUUAUAAAGAUUUAAAAUAUAUAUAAAUUAUUAUAUAUAAAGGCUCAAGUAGAUGUAACUCGUAUACAAGUCUCUACAAAUCUAUCAAAAUAUCUAGCAAGUCUCCUAAGUCCUUGAAUGAAUAAAGAGAAUAUGACCUAUUAUCCAAACAUCUAGAGUCUGGAGCCAAACAUCCUUGAUUAUAUGCCCUCAAAAGCUUUUUUCUUUCCUUCCUUCCAACUAAGUCAAAAGAUGGACAAAGAAAUAAAGCUUACAUUCUUCUUGAACCACAUAUACCUGCAAGGAUUUAGACGAUCUUACCAAUAUUUGACAGAUUUGUAGAACUUUUUAUAUAGGUUGCACCUCUUUGGUGCUUAUGUAUAUUUCGUUAAAUUCUCACAUCUAAAAAAAUAUAUAUCUUUCUCUUCUGCAUUACCCAGUUUCCUUAAGAUGCAGACUUGAUGUUACCUAUGUACCAUUUUUUUGUAAUUUGCUUUUCUGACGCCAUCUUACGUAGGAUGGUUUGCUAGGGAUCCUGAGAUGUUGAGUCGGGUUGGGCGUGUUCUACUGCGGUUGCCUGAUAUGAAUCAUGCCAGUCCUAGUCAGAUAAUCAUUUCAGAAGAUUGUUUCCGGCUAUCAAGCAUCCCAAGUGAUCAAACAGCUCAAGUUCUUGUUAAAUCAGUGGAGAAAUUGUUUGGAGGUUAGCAAUUUUUACAGCUAAUGAAUUAGAUAUGUGAAUAUCUAGAAUAAUUAAUUUCUAGAUAUUGCGAAGUUCCUUUGAACUUCUCAAUCUUCAAGGCACGUGUCUUCACUUUUAACAUAUGCACUGAAACUUGUCACAUGCUUGGAAGUAAUAGAAAAAUUUUGGUUACUGAAAUGCUAUUUGUACUAUUGUUUCCCACUUCUGAAGUUACCAGUUUACUUGAAUACAUGUUUGGUUGGGUGAAUCUACCAUAUAGGUCAUGUUAUAAAACACAUAAUCCUUGGGGAUUAUGUUGAAGAUAAUGUUCCAAGUCUGAAGCACUUCAUGAGUAAAGGAAUCCAAGCUCAAGAGUAUAACAUACUAUCCCUUGCAGCCCUUUCAAAUGCCAUGCGGUUGCUUCAGAGGUGAGAUCAACAACUGUGAAUUGCUAACCAGUAGCAUUCUAGAUUAGCUGCAGUUUCUUUUUCUUAUUGAGUUUAAUCAUAUGGUUUACUCUUUGAAGCAUAGGCAUGAAUUCAAGGAUAACCAUGGUGAAUGGGUUACCUCAGUAAAACCUGAUUUUGGUCCAGGCCUAUCAGAACGUAUAUGGGAAGCCGUCAAUCGACAGGGAAAAUAUUGAUCUCUGUCAGUCAAUUAAGGCUGAACUACAAUCUGCUCUCAGUGCUUUGCUGGGGGUAUCCUCUCUAUCUCUCUGUACAUGUUGAUGCCAAUGGUUUCAGUGGUUGCACCUUGUUUUCUUAGAUAAUAACUAAUAAUUGCUUAGCUAGGUGAUCUACGUAAGAUGAUUAUGAACCAAUGUGACAAAAGGGAAAAGAAACUGUUGGCAAUCACAGGAUUUUUACCUUGUUAGAAUUGAGGGAAUCUAUACACUUAUGAGAGGAUGUCAUUUUCCCUCUUAAGGAAAACAUCUUUUACAGGGUAAAAUUUCGACACAAUAAUGUCUUAUUUGCACUUAAAAAAACGUCAAUGACAUUAGAAAUAUAUCUACUAUCAAUCGCUUCAUUUGGAGUUGUCUUAUUUUUUCUCUCAUGAACUUGUUGCAUUCUUUAUUUCUGAGUUACUCUUCUGAACUAUAUAUGCUCCAGGACCACAGCAUUCUAGCCAUCCCUACCGUUCCCGGUCCUCCACCAAAACUACAAACAGACCCAAUCACGUUGGAAAGCUUUCGUGCCAGGGCUUUUAGCUUGCUGUCCAUUGCUGGAGUUUCUGGAUUCUGUCAGGUUCCUACUCUAUCUCUGACUACUUUUUCCCUGAGAGUUUUUCACACCUUUGGAUUUAUAAUAUGCUUCUGUUCAUCCAAUAUAGGUUACAAUACCUUUAGGGCUGCAUGAGAAUCUUCCGAUUUCGGUUUCAUUGUUGGCUAAACAUGGUUCAGACAGGUUCCUACUCACUUUUGUUGAAACUCUCUACGACACCCUCAAGUCACAGAUUGCAGGCACCGAGUGAUUUAGUUCAGUACCUUCCUUACAUUUCAGAGCAUGUUUGUUCUCGUUAAUAAGUACAUAAUCAAUUAUACAUUACCAGAUUAAUCUUAUUUUAAUUCAAAAUUUGACCAUACUUAAAUUGUCUAAGUUUCAUUUUUUAUUUUAUGAAAUUAAAUUUUCAAUCAAGCUCAAUGUAAGACCAUGUUUAGAACAUAUUUAAAAUUUCUAUUAAAUUCGUCUGCAAAUUCACACUUUGACAAUUUAAGUGUUCACUUAUACAAACAUUUAUAUAUAAUUGAAAUAGUGAAUAAUAAAUUUAAUUAAUUCUGAUAAAAUUCUAAAUUUUAAAUUAAAUUUUAACAGAAUUUGCAAUUUAUUGCUUCAAUUUUACAUUAAAUGUUAUAUAAUUACAAAUUUUUAUUAUUUUAAUAUAAUUUACUUAAUAUUUCGGAAUUAUUACAAAUAUAAAGUAGUUAUUGACGGUGAACUUGCAAAAGACUUUUAAGAGGUGAAAAAAAGUCCAAAGCAAAUAUUAAAUGUCAACGGAUGAUCGUUGACCAUCUCGUAUAGAUUUAUAUAUAUAUAUAUAUACAUGAUGCUCUUAAAUUCUUUUUGAAAAAAAAAAUUAAAAGUACAAAUUUUUUUAUUAAAAAAUAAUGCAAAAAAUAACGUGACAAUUAAUUAAAUUAAAUAAUUUAGAUGGCGUAAAAUUGAAAGUAACAAAUUAAUGAACACUAGGGAGCGUGGAUUAAUUACGUCAUCAAAAUAUUCAUUACAAAAAAAGAAACAGGAAUAAUUAUAUAUUUUAUAUUUUUAAAUUAUUUGCCAACUCCGCUAUAGUUGCUUGCUUCUGGUCAGCACAUUCUGCGAUGCUCAAAUACCUUUCGUGGAGAAGCAACACACACGAAAACAGUAAUCAGAACCCCCAAUCCGAUCGAAAUUAAGCAAGGAAAAUGGAAGUGAAAGCUAGAGCUCCCGGGAAAAUCAUACUCUCUGGAGAACACGCCGUCGUCCAUGGAUCCGCGGCGGUUGCUGCCUCCAUUGAUCUAUACACCUAUGUUUCUCUUCGCUUUCCUUCUCAUUCAGGUACAUUAAUUUACACGUAUGUUAUAUAUAUGGAGAAAUUUCCAUCUGUGCUUAUGUGAUUGGUUGUUUUCGUGUCGAUCGUUGAUUUGCUCAACUUUGUCGUAUUUUGGUACUUGUUUGAGUUUUAUUUUCCAUUUUCUGGUUAUUUUUCAUUGAAAUAAGCAGUCAUGGAGUCUUUUUGAGUUGUUCUGUUUCAGGAAUUUGUGAAAUGGUGGUUAGGAGAUACCCUUUUUGAUUAUAUGGAAAUAGGAUGUUUUUUUGACCGUGUUUAUUGAUUGUUACUGGUUACGCGGGGAGAUAGAUUUGUAUAUGGAGUUUUUGAACUUGCGGUAAUAUGGUUUUUUACAUGGUCUCUUGGGAAAAAACAAUAAUCUUCGUUUUAGGUGGGGGGAAAAAAAAUCUCGUUUAUCUCUUGUUCUAUGCUAUUGUUUUGCGAUAUGCAUUGGAAUGAACUACUUUUCUUGAAUAUUGAAGGUAGAAAUUAUAUAGAAACAGUGAGAAUAUGAUUUGAAUACAUGUGAUUAAAUGUGUUUGAUUAAGUACAAAAUAGUAUAUAUAAUUUGUUACUGUAAGCUUUUUCUAUGAGAAUUUCAGGUGGGGUUUAAUUUGUAAGGAUCAUGUAAGAUUAUAAAGACAAAUUGUGAAAUUUUACCCUUGCAAAUAUUUCUUUGCUUGCUUUUACAGCCAUUUUGUUUGAAUUACUCAAUGUGGGAUCAAAAUUUGAGUUUGCUAUUUGCUUCAUGAUAUAUGGGUAUUAGUUCUGUUAGUUGUAACUCUGUAAUUGUUGGUGAGAAUUCAAUUAAAUUCAUCAAUUGUUACUGAACGCUGUCAAGUUAUUAGAGAGAAGUAGCUCUCUCCUACAAAUGAGCGAUCCUCUGUUCUCACUUCCAAGAACCUACUAAUGAAGUUACCCUAUUUACCUAUUUCCCAAGUAUUUCCAAAGUUGAUUGAAUUCAAACAUCUUCAGGUUUCACAUGUAAUUGGUAUAAAUCUUUGGAACUCCCUUUUUUCACUUUUAGUCUGAUCAGAAUGCCUAGUUGAAUUGUUAUUUAUGAUUAGCAGCUCAGUCUUUGGAGACAAUUGUUGUAUUCAACCUCCCCUUAUUAGAAAAAUGAAGGGUUCUCAACUCCUAUGUCUUCUUUUAUCUACCAAUGGUGUUGAAAUUUUUAUGAGGAAAAACUGGGAUGAAAUUGGUUAUCUGGAAGUUGCUGAAGUAAUGCUGUAUAUCUGUUGAAAAGAUUUCUGCUAAUCUUUUCUUCUUUUCUCUGUAGAGAAUGAUGAUACACUAAAACUCCAGCUCAAGGAUUUGGCAUUAGAAUUUUCAUGGUCCAUUGAAAGGAUCAAAGGAGCAUUACCAGACUUGGGGAGUCCUUUUGCUUCAACACCCACCUCAUGCCCAACAGAAUUCCUGAAGUCUCUUGCUUUUCUAGUUGAAGAGCAAAAUAUUCCAGAGGCUAAAAUUGGACUAGCUUCUGGAGUGUCGGCUUUUCUCUGGCUAUACACCUCUAUUUUAGGGUACAUAAUUUGUUUUUUGUUUUCUUGUUUUAAGUCAACCUCGUUCAUUUUUCUGUUUGAUUUCUGAUCUCCUCACCUUUCUCUGUCAGGUUUAAACCUGCUAUAAUGGUUGUUACUUCUGAGCUUCCACUUGGUGCAGGCCUGGGUUCAUCUGCUUCUUUCUGUGUUGCAAUGUCAGCUGCUCUGCUUGCUUUGUCAGAUUCUGUGAGUUUGGACAUGGGCCAUCAAGGAUGGUUAAAAUUUGGUGAUACUGAACUUGAUUUAUUGAACAAAUGGGCUUUUGAAGGUGAAAAAAUAAUUCACGGAAAGCCAUCUGGCAUUGACAACACCGUCAGCACUUAUGGUAUGCAACUACCAUGAUCCGCACUAUGCAAAUCUAAUAUCUGUUCUAUCAAUAACUUUUCUUAUGCGUUUCUUAAGUUUGUUCUUUUCCAAAUAAUAAACAUUAUAUUAUUUAUUGCUUUAAGGCUUGCAACAGACUAUAAAUUAGAGAAUUUAGCAAAAGAUGUGAAAGAAUCCUAGAGCACAUUUGAGAGAUUAAUAUUAAGGGUUCCCUUUUAUGACAACAGUGUGGCGUUCCUCAUUGAUUAAGUAAUCCAUUUGUCUAUGUUUAAAUAAGUAAUACCAUUAUUUCUUAUGGUCUCUCUAGAGGGAUGUUGUCAAGAUUAAAUGAAACUUGGUGAUAUAGUUCCUACGUAAAUUAGUUCUUAGAUUGCAUAUGACUUGUCACUUUGUAUUGUAAAUUGUUUCUUCAAACUUUUUUCAUGGGUCACUUUGCUCAACUUUCUCCACAUUCAAAAUUCUCUUGUGCGUGACAAAAUAUGUGAAUAACUUACAUUGAUUUUGUUAUUUCUCAGUAUUGAAUGUCAAUGCAAAGGAAAGCAUGUGAGCUUGAUUUUCAAAGUGUAUUGACUAAGUAAUACCAAGCUUUGCUCUUCUUUUCUUCCUUAGCUUGAACUUCCAAAGUGUUAUGUAUUUCCUUUUUCUCCUAAAUGACAUUUGCUGUAUAUUCUAAAUUAGAAAUUACUUCUAUUAAAUUAAUUUUUUUCCACUCGUCACUGCAAGAGACUCUUGUUUUGGGAUGGUUGUGUAAGUAGUUUCCUCAUGCAAAUCAGGCAACAUGAUCAAGUUCAAGUCGGGUAGUUUGACACGUAUGAAGACUAUUAUGCCGCUCAAAAUGUUAAUUACCAACACAAAAGUCGGGAGGAAUACGAAGGCAUUAGUUGCUGGCGUUUCAGAGAGGACCUUACGGCAUCCUGAUGCUAUGCAUUUUGUGUUUAAUGCUGUUGACUCCAUUAGCAAUGAAUUGUCUAGUGUAAUUCAGUCACCUAUUUCUGAUGCCCUCUCUAUAACUGAGAAGGAAGAGAAGCUUGAAGAAUUAAUGGAAAUGAAUCAAGGUCUGCUCCAAUGUAUGGGGGUCAGUCAUGCUUCCAUAGAAACAGUUAUCCGGACAACACUGAAGUACAAGUUAGCUUCCAAGUUGACAGGAGCUGGAGGUGGAGGCUGCGUACUAACACUGUUGCCGACCUGUAUCCUCUUUCUUAUUCUGUUUAAUUUAUUUUAGUUGUUCCUACAAGAAUUUCUUCAUCUAUCCCUUUCUGGUUAUUUAUCUCUGUAUAUGUGAUGUCUGUCUUUGGCAAUUUUUUGAAAUGGUGCUUCUUAUUUCUGAAUGCAUUUACAAUAUUAACCUUUUCAUACUCCUCUCAUCAUGUUUAUGUGUUUUUCGUACCCUGUUUGCUGAUUAGACUUUUAGCUUAGAGAAGCAAACAUUGCUUCAUCAGACAGGCUUGUUGAAAAUAUAUUCUGGUAAUAUAUCUGCUUUAAUCAGCAUGGCUAAUUGAUUAAGGCUGAGGAGCUGGCAUGGUGCUUGGACCUACAGAAAUCAGGGAAUAGGAUUUGUUUGUAUAAUAUUACAGAUUGUGAAGAGUAACAGAAGACUUCUACCGAACUUUUACUCUGUUAAGGAGCAAACCCAAGUAAAGAUUCUAUAAUCAUCUGAUUGCACCACAAGAUACCUAGCUUUGUUCUUUCCUCUUCUAUUUCUCAACUUUUAACUUCUGCAAAUAUGCUUCAUAGUUUGCCUAGGCUGUUAUUUUUAUCUAUUUGGAUCUGUGAGAAACCAUAACAUCAUUCAUAGAGUAAAGUAGGUGAUCCCAGAAGGAUACUGGUAUCAAAUAUUUUGCACAAUGGCUGGAUGUCUGGGCCUUGUAAUAGGGCAUUGAGAGUAUUAACUGCUAGCUCCUUGGCUGGGGAAAAGUUAAGGACAGAACAUUUCUAAGGCAAGGAAUCUUGAAAGAAUGAAAGAAAAUGUGAAACGUUGUGAACAACAGCAUUCGGCACGGCCUAUAAUUGAACGAAUAGGAACUUAUGAACAAGAACACGCUGUAAAACAUGUUCAUGUGAAAUUUAAUGUGCUUGUUUCAUGAAUGUCCAUUUGUUCCUUGACUUGAUGAAACAGUGCUAUCAGGAGUAGUGCUCGAAAAAGUGACCACAGAGCUAGAGGCAUGUGGAUUCCAAUGUUUGACUGCAGCAAUUGGUGGCAUUGGUGUCGAGAUUUGCUUUGAUCAGUCAUCCUGAUUUUCCCAGAUGUGCAUUAGUUACAGUAAGAUCCGGUUCUUAUAAGGAUAACAUGAAAUUGUAUUGUUUAAUCUUAUAGUUUUUGAUGUUUUUCCUCUGUAUGUACAUUAGUUGGUGUACUUUUUCUUUUCCUUUUUCUGAAUCAAUGAGUUCGUUUCAAAUUUUCGAUUCCCAAAAUCAGGGCUAUCCAAAUUCGAUGAAUCAUUGAAAGAAAAAUAUCCUAAUGAUCGCAUCACAUGUAACUAUGAUGUUCUUGUUUGCCCUGACUAAAUCAUAUUACUUUUUUGGUUCUCUCUCUAAAUGUUCUUUCUAGCAUCUUUAGCCAGCAGCCUUCUAAGCCACUCUUCAGGUGCAUGAUCUGCAUGACCUCUUUAGCCCGCUGUGAUCUCUUGGCCAUUUCCCUCUUUUAUUUUUUUUAUUUGUGAAUCUUCUCUUCCUUCCUUUAUCAAUGAGAAUACCUCUUAUCCUCGUCUAUUUGUAAUAUUUUUCCUCUUUAACAAUAUCAUCUCUUUUACAUAUUUACUUUUGGAGCUACCAUUGUUCACUUGACAAGCUUCAAGGAAUUUUAGCCAAUGCAAGAUUUUAUUGAUGCAGCUCUCUGAAGCAAAUUCUUCAUUCACCAAUUGACAAAAUACCUCAGAUGCCGACUCGGGUUAUAGUCUUCAUGAAAAGCCUCAUUUUCCCUAGCUCAAAAUCAAUUGAAUCUAUUUCCUCUUUAAAUCAAAUUGUUUGUCCCUCUUAAUUCCUUUAGCGAAAAGCUUGAUAUUUGUAAACAUCAAGCUCCACAUGCCAUCCGAGCUUUGAAUUUCAGACAUGAACUUUACGGAUUGUAGUCCGGAUCAAUUUCUGAAUAUGAUAUAUCUUGAUAUCUAAUUUAUAUAUGAUAUAUGAAUCAAUGUCCUUUAUGGUGCAGCAUUUUUCAUAAUCUCAUGCCAUGCCAAAGGAUUAAACAGAUAUGCCAUAAGGGUACGUAUUAUUCCAUAACUAGACAUAUAUCAACAUACAGAGACUUAGCCAGACUUCCAUUGGCAUCACUAUAUAUGUGCGUAUUAUUUCUCUUCUGAAGUUACAGACACAAGCACAGUAUUUCCAUAUAUCCCAAGGCGCCCUCAUUUACGUACAUGAGAAAACCCCAUAUAUAGGAGAGGUCCAUGAUCUCACCCUUUACAUACUAAACCAAAACAGGAGAGCACCUUAUACAUAUGCACAUACAAACAUAUAUGUAUCACAGACAACCGAAAGUACGUUUAUUAACUUAUCCAUGGACUGAGUACACCCGUCAACCAUUCACUAUGGUGCCACCUGCAAAACCACCACCAAAUCAAUACACAUCAUUUUUUAAUAUUCUAAAAGAAAGAAAAGAGUACUCUUUAUAAGCUCUUACCAUUUGGAUGGAGGACCUGACCAGAUAUGUAAGAGGAGCAGUCAUUACAGGCAAGGAAGACAUAACAUGGGGCAACUUCAAUUGGCUGACCAGCCCUACCCAUGGGCGUCUGAGUCCCAAACUUCGAGACCUCCUCUUCACUCAACGAAGCCGGUAUCAAUGGCGUCCAAAUGGGUCCCGGUGCCACGCCAUUAACGCGAAUCCCUUUAUUCACCAGCUGCAGGGAAAGUCCCCUGGUGUACGCCACUAUUGCGCCUUUUGUCGCCGUGUACUCCAGCAGCGUAGCAUCCCUUGUAGGCGUUCACAGACGUUGUGUUGAUUAUGCUGCUCCCCUCCUUCAUGUGCUUCAAGCAAUGCCUAACAUCAUCUUCAAGAUUCAGACUCUGCUAACGGCACUUUCUGCUUAACAAGUAGAAGACUCUUAUGUGAUAUAUAUAUACCUGGUAGUGAAGAAAUAGGAGAAGAUGUUUAUUCUGAAAACCCUCUCGAGUGUUUCCUCGUCGAUCUCCUCGACGGAGGAGCUCUUGUGCUGCUCGGCGGCGUUGUUGACGAGAAUGUCGAUACGACCAAAAGCGUUCACCACCUCGUCAACAACCCUUUUACAGUUCUUGUCGAAGCCCAAGUCUGCUGCUACUGCCAUGGGUUCCUCCGCGUCUGGGGUCUUAACACUCCUCAGCAUCUGCAGCGUGUCAUGCGCGUCCUUAUCCUCUUGAACUUUCACGUAGGUGAACGCCACCGUCGCGCCUUCUAGAGCGAAACAGUGACACACAGCUCGUCCGAUCCCCGAGUCACCUCCUGUCACUAGCGCCACUUUCCCCUGCAACAACCUCGUUCAUACCCACAUGGCAAAACACAUACAUAUAUAUUGUUUAGAAGAAAGAGGCAAAUGGAAAGUUUACACGAAGCUUAUCCGAUGGUUUGUAGUCGGGAUUUGUGUACUGAGGUUGAGGGUGCAUGAGAUACUCUUUUCCAGGCUGGCUCUCCUGUGUCUGCGGAGGAAAACCUGACGCCAUUCUUGUAGUCGACAGUAGUACUGAUCUGAAACCAGAAAUGGGUUCUCUGUUUCUCACUGGAAAAUCACUUGUCACAAGAUUUCUUAAGUGAGCUCUGUAUGGAUACCGAGAAAAUUGGACCAACCACGACACACUCGUUAACACCCUUGAAGAAGAAACUAAGCGAGAGAACAUGCAUGCAUGUAUAUAUAGGAAGCUAUGUACGUUCUCUUUUUUACGUGCGGGAUUAGCUUGAGGAAGUUGCAGAUAUAUUGUACAAGUUAUACGGUGACUCGAGAGGACACGUGGUGACAAGUGGCAGCCAGUGACUCUUUACGUGUCAUUGAAAGCGGACAGAGGAGCCGUAGAAGUGGACUCUUCUGUUGACCGUAGGAUCGAAAAGUCUAUUGUUUGAUCUGGAACUGGAGGUAUUGAAAUAUGUUCGAUUCUUGAUUUCACUGAGAAAGUAGAUAAAAACAUUGCUUCAUCAGACAGGCUUGUUGAAAAUAUAUUCUGGUAAUAUAUCUGGCCAAUUUAUUAAGGCUGAGUAGCUAGUGUAAUGAUUCGAAAUUUAAGAAAAAAUAAAUUAUAAAUUAAAUAUAAAAGCGAAAUAAUAAAGUUAUAGUUCACAUUUCUUACAUAAUAAUUUAAAAUAUUCAAUAAAUUUACAGGAAUGAUCUUUAUAAAAAAACAACAAAAAAUUAAUAAAAUAAAUAAAAAGUAAACAAUUGAACAUCAUUUUUUAAAAAAAUUGAUCAUUCUAAAAAAAUAAUAAAAAAUUAAAAAAAUAAAUAUAAAAUAAACAACUGAACAUCAUAUUCGCAAUCUACUUAUGGAUCGAGAUGUAGAUCUUGGUUCUCUUGAUUUAAAAUGAUUAAUGAAAAAAUAAACUAUAUUAUCUCAAUAAGAAUGUCACACUACUCACCGAUACAAAAAUGCAGAUUGGUAAAAAUCAUGAAACUACUAAUGGAGUUCUUAAUUUAAAUAAAUUCAUUUAUCAUAAAUAAAAUGAUUUAUUGUACACUUACCGUAACGAAAUUUUCAAAAUUGACCUAUAGAGCCAAUAGCACAACAAUAUCAUAAUCUCAUAUUCAAUUAACUAGAAGAAUAACUUUUCCUUUUUAUUUGCCUACUAGUAUCAAUGGGAGUUCAUAGGGAUGUCCCCACUACGCAUGAACAUUUAUUCAAUAUUGUUAACUAACCAGUUAUCCUCAUACCUCGUUCGGUAUAAGUGUCAAAAAUAUCAGAGGUAUUGAGGAUGAAAUAGGCCGUCCUCAUACCCCGUCCGGUAUAAACACCAAAAUACCAAUGUUCGAUACCCCGUCCGAUAUGAGGCAACGUUCACGGUAGGGUUCCUUAUGCACCCGUUACGUCCACUAAUUCUCAAAAUAUUUAGUAAGGCUACCAUUCAUUCAUUCAUUUAAUCAAACAAUUCUCCGUUUAUAUUUAAUUUUUAAUUUCACAGUUUAACUGUAAAUCAUACAAAACAAACAAUAUAUGUAUUAAGAAAACACAACUGAAUCAUCUUACCAACUCCAGCGUAUUUUUAUACAUUUAAAACUGUAAAAUCAAUCAAUCGAUUAAAACAAGAUAAAUAGUGAUAAAUAAUCGGUUCUACUUCCAUUAAUAACCUGUAAUUAAUUAUCGAGAUUUUUUAAAUUAUACAAAAUACCACAUUAUUUAUGAUUAAAUUUUAAUUCUAUAAUAAAGAAUAGAGUGAAUGAUUCUUACUUGAAUUGAUGUGCGAAACGUCAAGCUUUCAGCUGCACCUACUAGCGGUCCCUGAGUUCCCUAAAUUUUUUUUUGAAUAUUAAAAUACGUUUCAAGUACCUAAAAAUAUUCCAAAAAAAUUCAAAACCGAUGUUAAAACUCUUUUCCAAUCAAUUUCGAAUUCCAGCACGGCGGCACCGACGUGCUCCAUCGACGACACCGCCGUCCGCUGUGGCAGUUUGCCUCAUAUUAGCCGUUUUUGGCCAGUUUUGUACUCAUCCCUGCGAGAAAACAUGUUAAGGGGUCUCGGUCGGUAAAAAAAAAAAGUCGAAAAAUAAAAGCUUACUGGUGGCGGGGUUUUCCGAUGCGGCGGCUUCGCCGACUCACCUUACAAUUUGACAUUUUUCUUCAUUCAACUUGUGGGAAAUAGAAUGGUGAAUACAAUUGUGAAAAAAUCGAACGAAACAUGAAUCGAGAAUGACCUCAUCAGAGGUAGUCUUUUAUUUUUUCCGCGACGGCACCGCCGAACUUUACCCGCGAUUUUCGGCUCAUCCACCGGUCUUUUUGUUUCGAUUUGGCCAUGGGGGUGUUCAAAAUCAAAUUUCGAGCGAAUUAAAUUUUUUUUACCUCUUUUAGCGAUCGGAGGUGGCUCCGGCACGACGGCGGGUGGCGGUCGGCUCCCUCUCCAGGCGACUGGUUCUUCUUCUUUGGCGGAGGGGCUGGCGGCUAGCGUUAGAGUUCAGUGUGAAAUAAGUUAUUUAUAUCCAUUUUUUUAAUAUGGGUCGUCCAUCGCAUUUGAUCUCAACCGUCCGAUCGCGUUUAAAUAGAAAAUGAAUCUGAACCGUUCAUUACAAUUUGAUCUGAACCGUACGAUCGCGCUUGAGUAGGGAAUGGAUCCGGACUAUGCACACGCGCGGGAACAAAUCAGGACCGUCCGAUCGCGGUCACGUGGAUCACCAGCGUAGCUUCCCACGUGGCACCGCGUCAGCGUGCCUUGUCACGCGGCACGCUCCGGUUUGUCAUGACUGCUGACUGCAUGUUCCUACGUGACACAUUUUUCUUAAAUUGUAUUUUGACCUCCAGUUUUUUAUUUUUCUUUCAAAAAUAUCUCCAUAACUUAAAUUUUAAUCUUUUUUAAAAAAUUAUUUUCAAUCUUAUCUUCAACCUAUUUUUCUUAAUUUUUAUAAUAAAUAAAAUUCAUAAAUUAAAAAAUAUUAUAUUUUAUACAUCAAUUGCGUGUAUUACAGCUAGCAUGGUUCUUUGAUCUACAGAAAUCAGGAAAUGGGAUUUGUUCAUAUAAUAUUACAGAUUAUGAAGAGUAACAGAAAACUUACGCCGAAGUUUUACUCUAUUAAAGAGCACACCCAAGUAAAGAUUCUAUAAUCAUCUGAUUCCACCACAAGAUACCUAGCUUUGUUCUUUCCUCUUCUAUUUCUCAAUUUUCACCGCCUACAAAUAUGCUUCUCAGUUUACCUAGGCUGUUAUUUUUAUCAAUUUGGAUCAGUGAGAAACUAUAACAUCAUUCAUAGAGUAAAAAUAGGUGAGCCCAGAAGGAUACUGGUAUCAAAUAUUUUGCACAAUGUCUGGAUGUCUGGGCCUUGUAAUAGGGCGUUGAGGGUAUUAACUGCUAGCUCCUUGGCUGGGAGAAAGUUGAGGACAGAAAAUUUCCAAGGCAAGGAAUCUUGAAAGAAUGAAAGAAAAUGUGAAACGUAGUGAACAAUAGCAUUCGGCAUGGCCUAUAAUUGAACGAAUUGGAACUUGUGAACAAGAACAUGCUGUAAAACGUGUUCCUGUGAAAUCUAAUGUGCUUGUUUCAUGAAUGUCCAUUUGUUCCUUGACUUGAUGAAACAGUGCUUUCGGGAGUAGUGCUCGAAGAAGUGACCGCAGAGCUAGAGGCAUGUGGAUUCCAAUGUUCGACUGCAGCAAUUGGUGGCAGUGGUGUCGAGAGUUGCUUUGAUCAGUCAUCCUGAUUUUCUCAGAUGAGCAUUAGUUACAGUAAGAUCUGGUUCUUACAAGGAUUACAUGAAAUUGUAUUGUUUGAUCUUACAGCUUUUAAUGUUUUUCCACUGCUUGUACAUUAGUUGUGUACUUUUUCUUUUUCUUUUUCUGAACCAAUAUGAGUUCGUUUCAAAUUUUCGAUUCCCAAACUCAGAGCUAUCCAAAUUCGAUGAAUAAUUGAAAGAAAAGAUAUGCUAAUGAUUGUAUCACAUGUAACUAUGAUGUUCUUGUUUGGCCUGACUAAAUCAUUGUACUUUUUUUAUCAUUGAGUGAGCAAUUGCACUGGUUUAAUCUGAUUAAUUGUGCCAGUCCUUUUGUUUUGGGAUCAGUUGUGUGAGAAUUCUAUUUGAUUAUUAUACACACACUUUGGAAAUUCUUGUGAGAGAGAAUCUGAUAAUUACACACAAUCGUGCCAGUCUUCUUGUUCUGGGAUGAAACAGGUGAAAUUUCUAUUUAAUUCUUGUACGCACUUUGGAAAUUCUUGUGGGGAAGUUUCUGCAACAGGUUCUUAUAGUUCGUGAUUCCAACUGGGUUUGAUUUUGCCAGGUAGAUUAUGUUCUUUCUAGCAUCUUUAGCCUGAAGCCUUCUAAGCCACUCUUCAGGUGCAUGAUCUGCAUGAGCUCUUUAGCCCGCUGUGAUCUCUUGGCCCUACUUUCCCUCUUUUAGUUAGUUAUUUGUUAAUCUUCUCUUCUUUAUCGAUGAGGAUACCUUCUUAUCAUCAUAACUGGUAGACAUAUAUCAACAUACAGAGACUUAGCCAGCCACAAGAUCACAACGCAACUUCCAUUGGCAUCACUAUAUAUGUGCGUGUUAUUUCUCUUCUAAAGUUACAGACACAAGCACAGUAUUUCCAUAAAUCCCAAGGCGCCCUCAUUUACAUACAUAGGAAAACCCUAUAUAUAGGAGAGGUCCAUGAUCUCACCCUUUACAUACAAAACCAAAACACGAGAGCACCUUAUACAUAUAUACAUACAAACAUAUAUAUAUAUAUAUCACAAACAACCAAAAGUACGUUUAUUAACUUAUCCAUGGACUGAGUACACCCAUCAACCAUUCACUACGGUGCCACCUGCAAAACCACCACCAAAACGAUUUAUAAGCGAAUGAAUACACUUCAUUUUUUUAUAUUCUAAAAAAAAUUACUCUUUUAUAAGCACUUACCAUUUGGAUGGAGGACCUGGCCAGAUAUGUAAGAGGAGCAGUCAUUACAGGCAAGGAAGACAUAACACGGGGCAACUUCAAUUGGCUGACCAGCCCUACCCAUGGGCGUUUGAGUCCCAAACUUUGUGACCUGCUCUUCACCGAACGAAGCUGGUAUCAAUGGCGUCCAAAUGGGUCCCGGUGCCACGCCAUUAACGCGAAUCCCUUUCUUCGCUAGCUGCAGGGAAAGUCCUCUGGUGUAAGCCACUAUUGCGCCUUUUGUCGCCGUGUAGUCCAGCAGUGUAUCAUGUCCCUUGUACGCGUUCACAGACGUUGUGUUGAUUAUGCUGCCCCCCUCCUUCAUGUGCUUCAAGCAAUGCCUAACAUCAUCUUCAAGAUUCAGACUCUGCUAAUGGCACUUCCUGCUUAACAAGUAGGAGACUUUUAUGUGUAUAUAUAUACCUGGUGGUGAAGAAAUAGGAGAAGAUAUUUGUUCUGAAAACCCUCUCAAGCCUUUCCUCGUCGAUCUCCUCGACGGAGGAGCUCUCGUACUGCUCGGCGGCGUUGUUGACGAGAAUGUCGAUACGACCAAAAGCGUUCACCACCUCGUCAACAACCCUUUUACAGUUCUUGUCGAAGCCCAAGUCUGCUGCUACUGCCAUGGGUUCCUCCGCGUCUGGCGUCUUAACACUCCUCAGCAUCUGCAGCGUGUCCUGCGCGUCCUUAUCCUCCUGAGCUUUCACGUAGGUGAACGCUACCGUCGCGCCUUCUAAAGCGAAACAGUGACACACAGCUCGUCCGAUCCCCGAGUCACCUCCUGUCACUAGCGCCACUUUCCCCUGCAACAACCUCGUUCAUACCCACGUGGCAAAACAUAUAUAUUGUUUAGAAGAAAGAGUAAAAUGGAAAUUUACACGAAGCUUAUCCGAUGGUUUGUAGUCGGGAUUUGUGUACUGAGGUUGAGGGUGCAUGACAUGCUCUUUUCCAGGCUGGCUCUCCUGUUUCUGCGGAGGAAAACCUGACGCCAUUCUUGUAGUUGACAGUAGUACUGAUCUGAAACCAGAAAUGGGUUCUCUGUUUCUUGCUGGAAAAUCACUUCUCGCAAGAUUUCUUAAGCGGGUUUUGUUUGGGUACCGAGAAAAUGGAACCAACAACGGUACGCUCGUUAACACCCUUGAAGAAGAAACUAAGCGAAAGAACAUGCAUGCAUAUUUAUCGAAAAGCUAUAUGUUCUCUCUUUUUUCUUGUGGAAAUUGCAGAUAUAUGUAUAAUUUAUGCGGUGACUUGAGAAGACACGUGGUGACAAGUGGCAAUGGACGACUCUUCACGUGUCAUUGAAAGCGGACAGAGGAGCCGUUGAAGCGGGCUCUUCUGUUGACCGUAGGAUGGAAAUCUAAUGUUUGAUCUGGAACUUGAGGUAAUGAAACAUAGAAAUGCUUGAACUCAUUGAGAAAGAAGAGAAAAACACGGGUCUUUCUGAAUUCUCAAUGAACUGUCCCGAAAUCUUAGCCAAGGAAUUAGAUAAUCCUACGACAGAGAUUUAAGGAUGUUUGCAUGUAUGCCACGUGGACACAGUUUCGUGUGAAACUGAUACAUGUCCCUUAUCACCGAUUUCUCUGGUGUGUAGGGAACAGAUAGACACGGCACUUGUAAGUAUCUGAUCUUCAACUGCCUAAUCCACAAAAACUAUAUAAAUACACACAUAAAUGAAGAAAGUGCAAUUAAUGGUGGAAUGAUCAUAUAUGCUUUAACUGCUUAAACACUAUACAGUUUAUAUAAAAAAACCGAUAUCUGUUGUCUUCAAACUCUUAAUUGCCUCGUGGAUCUCUUAUAUUCUUGGUUUCUCUCUUUUUCUUGGUCUGGCAAAAUUAUGGCGUCUCUCAAAAGAGUCGGCAUCUUCUUCUUCACUGUGCUUGCUCCUGCCAUUUUCUUGCACAAAGUGCAUUCUAAAGAUGGUAUAUUGUCUCUGUCCCUUAUCCUCUGUGUCAGUAAUGACUUUUCUAUGUUGUUCUUUUGUCUGUAAGACUGCAAGCUUUCAGAUUGAAAAGUUAGGGACGAAGAAUAUGAUUCUUGAUUUUUGAGGGAAAAAUUGCAAUCUAGGCUUGUUGGUCAGAGGAAGGUCUGCAGGAAUCUCUCUUAUCUGUUUGAAGAAAUCCUAAAAUGACCCUGGUUUUCUUUGUGUGUAUAAACAAUAAGGUUGGCGGUGCAUGCACAUAUAAUAUGUAUAUAUACAUAUAUAUAUUUAUGUAUGUAUAAUGUACGAGUAGAUGUGAUUCAUCUGAAUUUUCCUAGUAUAUAAGUGGAACCAGCCCUUGUAAUUUGGUAUAAACAAAAAGAUAUGAAGAUCUAUUACAAACUCCUUUGCAUAAUUGGAGUUGCUUUUUAAAUAUAUUAAAGACUAAUGACUUGUCAUAUAUACAACAGUGGAGAGAUCAAAUUCCUCAAUCUUUAUGUCAUUUUUAGAUUAAUUUACAAUUAUUCUGUUUGUAAUUUACAAAAUAAAUUUGAGAAUAUGGCUGGGAGGUUUCAGUAACUGUCAUUCUGAUAACAUAUCUUGUCUGUGUUUGCUUUUGUGUUUAUAGCCAUACAGAGAGGUGUUUGGCAUUUUGACUGGUAUUUUUCUUUAUGCCAUAAUAUGAUCAUAUAUGAACCUGGAACUUGAUAACACAUCUUGUUUAUGGAAUCGGGUAUUGCGCGUUUUCAUUGGCACACACACACACACACAUAUAUAUAUAUAACAACUGUGUAUCUGCAGCAUUUCACUGAAUUCACUGGUUCAUGAUCAGUUGAUGUUACCCUUUUCUUACCAUUCUACAGAAGAUGAAGACAAUCUUCUCCAAGGCAUCAACAGUUACAGAACAUCACUAAACCUCCCAGUCCUGGUCAAGAACAGCAACGCCGGUUGCCUUGCAGAUGAAAUUGCUGAAAAGCUAGAGCACCAACCAUGCACCAGCGCCAGCGCUGCCAGUGCCAGCUCCACCCCAGGCGCCGUGUCUCAUUUACCCAACUUUCCAGAACUUGUGUCAAAAUGCAAGAUUGACAUCAACACCACCAGAGAUGCUGUCAUCCUGCCUGCCUGUGUACAUGAACUGGUUCCUACUCUGGUUCUGACCAACUUCACACACAGUAGAUACUCCAAGUUUCUGAAUGAUUCCAAGUUUACCGGCGCAGGACUUGGGUCUGAAGAUGAUUGGAUGGUGGUGGUUCUGACCACCAACACACCUGGGGGAAGCUUUGCCAGUGGAUCUGGGUCUGGUGUGUGUUCAAAGAUUGGAGCUUUGGCGAUUCUGGUGGUGGGUUUGGUGGUUUAUUUCUUUGGAAUUUAGGAAUUUGAUAAUGUGGGUAUUUGUGGGUUGUGAUGUUUGUGGGUUGUGGAAAAGAUUUAAGCAGGGAGGAGGAGUUUAAUUUGAUGAAUUAAUAAUGUUAUUUGUGUAGGUAAUGGACAGUUUGAGCUUUUUAAUUUCUAUUAAUAAGUAUCUAAAGUUUCCAUUUUUAAUUUUCGUCAAGAUUUCAGGUUCUUUUAUACGCCAACUUUAAUUUGAAAAAUUUAAUUUAAGAAUAUUUUCUAAUAAAGAAAUAUCUAACUCUAAAAUUAUUACGUAAUUAAAUUUUAAUUAGCAAUUCUCAUAAUUGUGUCCUAAGAAUAUUUUUUAUAUUAAAAUUACUUUGUAAGAUGUCCAUCUUAAUUUUUAUCAAAAUAAAAAUUACUUUUCGUGGGCCGUACUUGGGCCAUGUUUGGGCCAUACUUGGGCCGAGUCAUUACAACCAGGUAAGGGCAACCCAUCCCACAAAAGCCUCAAUAUCUACUUGUAAUUUCAUAAAUAUUCUUAAAUUAAUUUAUUUAAUAUCAAAAUAAUUUAACAUUUAUUAUCCUUACAAAAAUACAUUUUCAACUAUAUAAAAAAAAUGUUCAAAUUUUUUUAAAAUAUUUCUUUUUUCAAAGCUCUUUUUUGAACUCUUCGUUAAGUUUUUUUUUUUUUUUUUUGUUUUUAGCGAUAAUUCAAUAUUUUUUAUAUAUUAAAAUUAGUUUGUGAAGUGUAAAUUGAUUUUGAUCCAUCUUAAUUUUUAUUUUCAAAAGUCAGAUUAUACACGUCUCUAUCCUUUAAUUCGCACUUGGGCCAUAUUUGGGCCGUGCUUGGGCCAUGCGUGGGCCGUAAUUGGGCUUUUCUUGUGCCAUACUUGGGCUUUUUGGGGAGUGCUUGGGCCGUGCUUGGGCUUUUAUCGGCCCAUGAUUGUGCUUUUCUUGGGCCGUACUCGGGUCAUACUUGGGCUUUCUUGGGCCAUGAUUGGGCCAUGAGUAUGCCAUACUUGGGCGCAUUUGGGCUUUACUGUGCCAUAUUUGGGCCGUGCUUGGGCUUUUCUUGGGCCGUACUUGGCCUUUUAGCAGUACAUGGCCGUUCUUGGGCCUUGCUUGGGCCAUUUGGGACCAUGCUUGGGUUUUUCUUGGGCCUUUAUUGGGCCAUUCUUGGGUUCACCUCUUCAGCUUUAAGUGCGCGCAGACCAAACCCGCGCACCUAGCGGCAAAUAAGCUAAAAAACCAGAUUGGAGAGACGGAGAUCGGAGCAAUGGCAGAUAACCAGGCCGAAGACGAGGAAGGGGGUUUUGGCAACUUUAGAUUCGCGUCUAAUUACACCGCCAUCUUCACUCCCAACCCCAUCAACGGCCUAGAUCUCUCAUCUGCCAUCUCCAUGAAUAAAAGCAGCAUGAACUCCGGCGAAGACGAUGACGACUGGGGAGACUACGUCAACUCGUCCAGUGUCUUCUCCCGCACAGAGUCACUACCCAAUCCUCCCUCCUUCCUAUCGUCGAACCACUCAGAUUCACCGGGGUUCUUCAUGGAUCUUAGCCGCACCCACUCGAUGGAGCUGACUCGGCCCGGUUCAGGCCCUGGUCGGAUAGAGUCAGGGAAGAAGAAUCAAGCUAGCUGGGUGAAACCUCAGGGUGCUUUACCGCUGUCAAUAUUUGGGGAGCAAGAAGAGGAAGCCGAGGAGAAAUCAAGCGCAGUUGAUCCAUCAUUUAAUGGUGUAACUGAUUUUCUUCCUGCUAAAAACAACCACCACCAUGACAAUAAAUCUGCAAAGGAAGAGUCUAGCUUGGCCGUGGGUGUUAGGUUUAAUGAUUUGAUCACAAUUCUAUAUAAACAUAGCGAGCAUGGGAAGCCCGAUUAUGGAUUUAAAAAGGAUUCCAAUGACUCCAGUUUGGAUAUGAAUGCUUCUAAUUGGAGUAAAAUGAGGGAGAGUGACUAUUCGAAUGGAUGGGAUUGGAAUGGAGCCAGUUUGGAUAAAAACGUAAAAAAUUUAGGCACCACGAAGGCCAUUCCGAACUUGACCGGGUCGAAAGUGGAAUCAGAUGGGUUGAAUUCAAGCAGAAAUGCCUCAGAUUUGGGUGCUAAUGGGACAAACUUGAAUUGGAAUCCAUUAAAUCUAGAUACAAAUGGAGUGGAUUCCGGUCGAAGAAAUUCAGAUGCUAACCAGGCGAAUUUGGAUUCAAAUGGGUUAAAUCUAGGCUCAAUUCAGCAGAAUUACUAUUUUGAUGAUGACGAAGAUGGAUGGGAAUUUAUGGCCGCUGAGUCUAAGGUAACCCCUGGAGAUGAACAGACUAAGGUGAAAUUGCAACUCUGAUUUGAUUGUUUUUUUCUUAAUCAGAUAGUAGACUCUUUGGUUGAUGAUACGAAUUGAAAACUUCGGGUUUUUUACUUAAUUUCAUUUUGUGUAGUCAAGUGAAAUUCUCUUUGUAGACUUUACUAGUAGCUUUAUUCAUUCUGCUGGUGGAUAGUCAAAAGUAUCUUGCAAUUUGGAGCUUUUACUGGUUUCAUUAACCAUCUAUGUUUUUCACAACACAACUAAAAGGAGCCAUAGAAUUUUUUUUUUUUUUAACCUGGAAGCUGAUCUCAUGGUUUAUUAUGAUUUUCUUAUUUCAGAAUGAGCAGUGGAAGACUGAAAAUGGGCCAUCAUCUAACUCUAAUGUGUCAAAUUUGAGUUGGAAUGUAUUGGGAUCAGAUUUAAGUGGGAUGCAUCCAAAUAUUAAUGGGGUGAAUUCAGAUGUAAGUGGAUUAAAUUCUAAUCUUGUUGGUGCAAGUGAGGAUUUUGGGGAUGAUGAUGGAUGGGAAUUCAAAGGUGCUGAAUCUGAAAAGCAGGAGGUAAAUGGCAACAUGAAGGUGUACCCCAGUGAUCUCUUUGCUGCAUCAAAUGGAAUUUCAGAGAAAUCCAAGGAAUGGGAUUUUGGAUUUGAUUUCAAUUCAAAUCCUGUAACUCAAGAUGGCAGGACAUAUUCUGAAAGCAAUCAGAAUGAAACCAAAAAUUGGUUGAAUUCAUCUGCAGUUCAUAGGAACAUUAACUCUGGGGAAAACUUCUGGGACUUCAAGGGUGAAUCUUCAGAAACUGAAUUAAAGACCAAGGUGAUUAGUUAACAUAGUUUGGUUUAUUUUUCAUAUUAACUGUCUUUUGGAUCUCCAAAAAAUGCACAUUUUGAACUUUUAUUUUUGUUACAGGAUGAACCAAAGGUUUCUGAGGAUUCUUGUGUUGGAGUUGAAGCAUCCUUAUUUGAUGGUAACAUGCAGGUAUGUACUUUUUUUUAAUACAAACAUGCGGGUAUUGACUUGUUAAGUGCAUUAGUGAAGAUCUGUAUGAAGAUUUCAUGAAAGACAUAUACUGUGUAAUGCAAUUAAAAUAUAUCAUUUGUUGACAGUAAAUGAUAGUUUAUAGUGUGAGAAAGUUAAGAAUAUACUUCUUUUUUAAUUUUUCGCUCCAUUUUUUUUUUCUGUGGUAAUAGAUAUAGCCUCUAUUGAUCUUAGUGUAGCUGAGUUGGAACAUAGUGGACUAUUUUCUUUGACAAAGCAAUCUGAAUUGUCUUUUUUCUUUUGUUCCCCAUAAGAACAUGUUUUGAUGUGAUGAUGUCUAUUGUUGCGCAUAUAUUAUGACUAGUUCUGGACAUCUUGUUUAGAUCUCUGGAUGAUGACACUUCAUCUAUUUUACCACAUUACUAGGCAUUACAAAGCUUCCUGAUAUCCUUCACUUGCCAACUUUUUGUUCAUAUAACUAUUUUUCGAUUUUAACGCUCAGAAGAAUGAGCCCAAGGUGGAGAAGCAUAAAAUGCCCUUGCCUCUGUCAAUUUUUGGCGAUGAUGAACAGGAGAAGGAUCAUUCUUUAUUUAAUCAAGAUUUUUCAUCUUCUGAGCACGGUAUAUCCUUAGGAGAAAAAUUAAAGUCUCCUGGUUCAAAUACAUCGAUCAAUGAUCUUAUAUCAACUUUAUACAUUCAAGCUGGGGAAAAGGUCUCUGUCAAUUCUACUGCAAUGCCAAGUGAAAAUGGAUGUGGCUCCACCCAGUCUGUGAUAAACCCCAAGUUAGUCAGUGAGGACAAUGAUUUUGAUGAAGAUUCCUGGGAGUUUAAAGAUGCCUUUUCGGGAAGUGGAGCUGAAAAACAGAACUCUUUUCUAAGUGUUGGGAAGUUCCAUAACUAUCCUGUUUCCAAUGAAGAGCUAAAUAAUUUUGUCAAUCUCUACUCUAAAUUAAAAGAUGAGUUAUCCUACAUUGCACUGACCCAUCUAGACAAUCUGAAGGUUAGUAGACUUCUUAAAUGUAUUUCUUUUCUUCAAAACUAAAGUUUGUUGAGGCUAUUGAAUUUGUGAAUUGUGGUUUUUUCAUUAGAAAGGUCGAAGCAUUGCUGCUCAUUCCGGUGAAGAUAUGGAAUUGAAAAUGCUUGAUAAGGAAAUCCAGGUUUGAAGCUGCUUUGAUGAUUUGUUUCUUGCUCCUUUUUCUUUCAAUUAGUAAUUAAGACACUGUAUAUAAUUGCCUCAUUACUAAUGAACUUUGCGCAUGGCAUAAUAAAAAGAAAUAUAAGAUAACAAAUUUCCACUGAGGGUUCUUUAAGAAAAGAUUAUAAUAUUUUUGGCAUUAGUUGAAACUUGAAACCACUUGCUGAGUAAAUUUGGAAAUCUUGUGAGAGCUUUUUGAGAGAUGGACAUCACCUAUAAUUAUCGAUGCCUCUUUUUGGAUGAAUCAGUUCAGAUAACACUGAAAGUUGACAAUUUCCUCUUUUUACUGAUUUGUUGUGUCCUUUUGACAAAGCUAGCUUUAUUUAUCAAAAUAUAAUAAUUCCAUAUGCUUGUGACUAAUCUUUGUUGUAUGUGCUGUUAUAGAUCUAAAGAAUCACUGGUUCAUGAUAGCUUGAUCCCUGAAGCAAUCANNNNNNNNNNNNNNNNNNNNNNNNNNNNNNNNNNNNNNNNNNNNNNNNNNNNNNNNNNNNNNNNNNNNNNNNNNNNNNNNNNNNNNNNNNNNNNNNNNNNNNNNNNNNNNNNNNNNNNNNNNNNNNNNNNNNNNNNNNNNNNNNNNNNNNNNNNNNNNNNNNNNNNNNNNNNNNNNNNNNNNNNNNNNNNNNNNNNNNGUUACUUUAAGUUUUUCACUAACUACAUAUGUUGCAAUGAUCAAUAAAUUGAACUUGACUCAAUUUAAUUGAUUCAAGAAAUUAGUCAUAAGUAUCCUCAUAAAUGGCUCAAAAUAUGCACCUCUUAUUUGAUCUCAUUCUGAAUGUUCACAUACACUCGAUAAUCAUUUUUUAUUAAAAAAGCUCACUGGUUUGCUUUGUUUUCAUGCCUGAUAACACUUUGAUACUUUUUCAUGAAUAGGCAGAGAAGGAUUCAAGAUUAACAGUUGAACUCUUAAAACAUGCUGGAUUGACUCUGAAAAUGCUAAAAUUGGCAUCAUUGGAGGAGCAAUCUAAUUAUGUUUCUACAUGGUCUAAAAUUGUGUCAGCUUGUGCUCAAGAGCUGAAACAUGGCACCUUGAUUUGGAAUCAGGCAUUACAAAAGGAUGUACACAGUCAAAUAUUAUCUAAAAACCAAGGUACCAGAUAGCAUAUUUAUGCAUGACAAUGAUGGUAGUAAUAGCUAUUCUGCUUGUCUCUUAGAUAUGUAACUUGUCAAAUAUUUUGUUCUCAAUUAUUUUAUUCUAUGCAGGGAAGAAGUAUCUUCUUGCCCUCGGGGAAAUUUACAGGGUUCUUCAAAUUCUGGGGAGUUCAGCCAGACUUUACAAGCCAUGGGUAUUGUUAAGUUCUACUGAUCCCACAAUUAUGUUGGCUCUUCUAGAUGAAUGUUCGGUUCUAUGGUCAAGUUCAGGACUUGAAGAAGCUCUCCAGAGUAUAUCUGAUCUGUCUUUGUCCGAGUAUGAUGGAACUGUCAAUGCUUUGCUGGAAUCCAUCAAGCAUGUUGGUGAUCUUGAUGCACUUGCACUUUAUAAUCAUGCUUUCUCUGGACAGGAACCUACCUGUCAACUAUCUGGCUUAACCGUGGGAACAGUACCAGGUAUGCAGAUAUUGAUCAUGCAUUGAAUUUGGAGUAUGAUGGGCCCUUCAUAUAAACCCUUUAAUCAAGUGCCUAAUGGCAUUGAACCUGAGAUGACAUAUGGCAAAUUCACGUAGUUAUCCUUAGAGUUCUUUUCAUUUGGAUAUCCUCCAUGAAUUUGAACGUAGGACACUAGACCUUUCCAAUUUUUCUAGAAAAAAUUUAUUACUUUCCUAAAUCCUUUGUGGUUUUAACUUUAAAGGAAGUUGAAGUUGGAGGAGAUAGCAAGAUGCUAAUAACAUAACCAGGGACAUGGACGCAGAUUUUUAAAGAUUAAGUAGGAGUUGAUUUCUUGUAAAAUCUUGUGAUUUACCAGUUAACGUUUGGGCCUAAUCUGGCGAGAAAAAGGUAGAUGUAUGAUAUAAUUAACCUUCAACGUACUAAAAGCCUGGCGGGCUAGCUAUAGGCUGUUUGAGCAUGUGUUAUUCAUUCAGAAUAAGCGCCCUCUGUGAUUUUCAUAAUAGCUUUUUUUGAGUUUCCUCUCCAUCUUUUACUGUGGGUUCCUGCCUAAUCUUCUCAGUUCUUCAAUAAUUUUGCUGGACAGGCAUGAAAAUGGUGGUUUGGAAUGGGAAACACUACUUCUUGACACUUGCCAACCUGUGGGCAAACCUUGUGAGUCCUGAUCCUCCAACUUUACAACACAUUCAUGUUCAUUGAUGGAAUGCAAGAGAAAGUUGGAGGAUGUACUUUUGAGGCUCUUUAGUUGAGACGAUAUUUCUUUCGGAAACGAGGUUCAAUUUCGGAUCACUAGCCACUGUUGCCCUACCCUGCACUGGGACUGCCACCAUUUGGAAGCUUCCACGAUCGGGAUAUAUCCAUGUCACCGGAACUGCCACCAUUUGGAAGCUUUCAUGAUCGGAAUAUGUCCAUGUCGUGAUCACACUCCGGCUACCUGGUUCAACGGUCAGAGUUCUAAAAUUCAAGAUUUUCUAUACGUUAUUGCCAUUAUUGCUCCGCAUUCUUUUCGUGAAAGCUGUAGCAUAUUUAGUUGAAUGUAGAGGUGUUGUGUAUUCUUUGUAUUGAUUUAGCUGUGAAAUCAGUGAAUAAAAAUAAGAAGCAAAUAUAUAUAUAUAUAUAUAUAGUGACAAAUACAAAUAGGGUUGUAAAGCAAAGACAGGAGAUAGUUGUUGGUUUCUCUUGUUUCUCUUCCUAUGUAUUUCAGAACAAACUGGAUUGAUGGAUUUUUCUCUCACCCCUCUUGCAGGGCAAAUACUUACAUAGCCUUCAUAUUUUGAAAUUGAAUUUCUGGUUAGUUGUAAACUUAAAUAAAAUUACAUGCAAAGCACAAAUAGGAAGAGCUUGUAAUUAAGCGGUAGCCGAUUCUGAUUUGACACCAGUUUUUUCACCAAAUCAGAAGUCACCGAGACAAUAAAGCUUUUAGCUUUUCCUUUCCUUCUUGGAUCUUCGGCUUUAAAUUUUAACAUGUUAAAAUUAUUAAUAUUUGUAGAUUUAACUCAUAAUUAAGUUAAUUUUAAUUAAUUAUAUUUUUAACUAUUAAAUAAUCACAAAAAUAUUAAUUAAAUUGAACAUAAAUAUUUAUCUAAAUUUUUUAAUCAAUUAAUUAAUUUUUAAAUAGAUAAAUUAUAGUAAAUAAUAAUAAUAAUAAUCACAUAUUCUUAUAAAUUAAACUCAAUAUUAAUCAUCUUUUUAUAUAAUAAAUAAAAUUAUUAUAGACGAAAUUCAAUAUUUAUUAACUUAUAAAAUAAUAGAUAAUUUAACUAAUAAAUUUAUAAAAAAUAAAAAAUAAAUUCUUCAUAUUUCUAUUUUAGCUUCUUCUUUUCUUCUCAAUUUAUGAAUAUUUUGUGCAAUCAAUUUAAAAAGCUUUUUCAAUGUAAGUAUAUAUAUAUAUAUAUAUAUAUAUAUAUAUAAUCACUAAAAAAUGUAUACAAAGUACACCUUUUUUUUUUUUUUACAAAUAAAUGGUUAAUAUGUAUAUAUAUAUAUAGAUAGACAUAACUAUAUAUUAUUGUAACGUGUGUGUGUGUGUGUGUGUGAUGUCUAUAUAUAUAUAUAUAUAGUUUCAAAAUUAUUUUAAAAUAAUUUAUAAAUAUUGUGUUAAGAAAACAAAACUAAAAACUUUUUUAAUUAAUUUUUAUUGAAAAUGGGCCAUUAAUAAUUUACUUCUCUCACGCGUACGAGAUAACCACAAUAAUUUGAAAAAACCCAUUUGGAAAAGCACAAUUUCAUCNNNNNNNNNNNNNNNNNNNNNNNNNNNNNNNNNNNNNNNNNNNNNNNNNNNNNNNNNNNNNNNNNNNNNNNNNNNNNNNNNNNNNNNNNNNNNNNNNNNNNNNNNNNNNNNNNNNNNNNNNNNNNNNNNNNNNNNNNNNNNNNNNNNNNNNNNNNNNNNNNNNNNNNNNNNNNNNNNNNNNNNNNNNNNNNNNNNNNNNNNNNNNNNNNNNNNNNNNNNNNNNNNNNNNNNNNNNNNNNNNNNNNNNNNNNNNNNNNNNNNNNNNNNNNNNNNNNNNNNNNNNUGAAUUAAACAAGAUGAAAACAACAUAUAUAUGGCAGUAUCUUGCACAUAUAAUUAUAUAAACUAAGCUCUCGGUAUAGCUUAUUUUAUAAACAGUAAUUAAUUAAUUCCUAAGCCCUAAGUAAUAUAUAAAUAUAUAUAUAUAUAUAUUAAUUGAAGACCUAGAGAAUUAUAUAUAUAUAACACCUUUUUUUUUUUUUUUAAAUUGUAAACUUUCUAAUUGUGUAGUGGGUCAGGACUGGAAGGUACUUCCCUAUUAAUGGUUGCAUAAAACCCUCUCUGAUCUUGUUCUUCUUCUCUUACUUCUUCUUGAUCUCCAUUAUUUUUGAAGCUUAUUUGCAGGUUCUUCCACGGCGGACUCUUCUCUGUCAGGUCUUCUUCAACCUUCGGCCUGAUCAUCAUCAGACGUCUGCCGACACCCGCCAAGACAACUCGAUGGUUAAGAGCUGAAAUGCAGAAGAAGAUGAGGAAGAGAGCGAUAGCUUGAGGCUUUGAGUACAGAAACAUGGCUAACUAGGGUUCGUGGUUGAAAGGGUUCUGUGCAAAACCAAAAAUGGAGGUUGAAGAAGGGAGGUAAUAUAACUUGGGAGUGGACAGAGAGGACAAGGGGAGAGUGAAAGAUUGGACAUGUUGGUCUGGGUUUGGUACGUGGAAUUUAAAUAGAGGGAAAAGAUACUGAAUAAUUAAAUAUAUUUAGCAAAUACAUAUAUAUAUACACACACACACAUACACCCACAAUUUUUAGCCGUAGUAUGGAUAUGGGUAUAUAAUAUUAUGAAUAAACUAGAGUUAUAGUAACAAGGGAUUAUGUAAUUAGUCUAAGUAAUAUGAAGCAAAAGUGUAAUUUAUGGCAUUAGUACAUNNNNNNNNNNNNNNNNNNNNNNNNNNNNNNNNNNNNNNNNNNNNNNNNNNNNNNNNNNNNNNNNNNNNNNNNNNNNNNNNNNNNNNNNNNNNNNNNNNNNNNNNNNNNNNNNNNNNNNNNNNNNNNNNNNNNNNNNNNNNNNNNNNNNNNNNNNNNNNNNNNNNNNNNNNNNNNNNNNNNNNNNNNNNNNNNNNNNNNNNNNNNNNNNNNNNNNNNNNNNNNNNNNNNNNNNNNNNNNNNNNNNNNNNNNNNNNNNNNNNNNNNNNNNNNNNNNNNNNNNNNNNNNNNNNNNNNNNNNNNNNNNNNNNNNNNNNNNNNNNNNNNNNNNNNNNNNNNNNNNNNNNNNNNNNNNNNNNNNNNNNNNNNNNNNNNNNNNNNNNNNNNNNNNNNNNNNNNNNNNNNNNNNNNNNNNNNNNNNNNNNNNNNNNNNNNNNNNNNNNNNNNNNNNNNNNNNNNNNNNNNNNNNNNNNNNNNNNNNNNNNNNNNNNNNNNNNNNNNNNNNNNNNNNNNNNNNNNNNNNNNNNNNNNNNNNNNNNNNNNNNNNNNNNNNNNNNNNNNNNNNNNNNNNNNNNNNNNNNNNNNAAUUUACAAAUUUAAAAUUUGAACAUAAAUCAACUAAAGAAAUAACAUUGAGCGUAAAAAAAAAAUGGAAUUUGAUUGAAAUUUUAUUUAAAAAUUCACAUCCUUAUAUAGGUCAAAUAUAUAUAUAUAUAUAUAUAUAUAGGUUAAUAUAUAAAUUCCACCAACAAUAUUCAUGUAUUGUAGACAAAACCUUAAACAUCCAACAUUAAUAUAUUACUCCCAAUCACUUAGACCACCUUUGUAAUAGACAAUGCGCCCUAAGAUAUUAAUAAUCCUAAUGAGCCACUUUCAAGAAUGAGACAAAAAUUAUGCAUGGAAUGCUUAUACAUAUACAUAUAUAUAUAUAUGUAUAUUUUGUAUAUGUAAAUGUUUGAGAAUGAUCAAGAUUUGGAAAGUUUGAGAAACUCAACAAGUUGCAGGCUAGUAGUGAUAGUGGCACAUUUGCCACUCUCAUUUAUAACUGAAAUCAGCUUAUUCAAGCAGGUUGUAUCUAAAAGAUGAACCAAAAUGCUUUUACAAUAAGCAUUUAAGUUAUCGUAAAUAAAUUAAGUUAAAAAAAAAUAUUUCGUAAUAAUUAAAUUUUCUUAAUGGGUAGGAAAUUUGAUAUAUAUUUAUUUUUUUUAAAAAAAAAAUUGUUUCUUUUUAUUAUAUUCUUAAUAAAUUGUAGGCAAAAUUGGUUUAGUAAAACCCAUUACUGCCAAAACAAAUAUAUAUAUAUAUAUAUAUAUAUAUGUGUGUGUGUGUAGUGGCAUCCCAUACUUCAAACAUGUAAUUGGAGCAAAAUGAAUUUGGGGGUAAUAGAAAAAAUUAUCUGAAUAUUAAUGUAAAUUUGACUAAUAAUGCACAUGAACUUUCUCUGCUCUGCUAAGUGCUACCAUCAUUACUUACUGGCGCCCAUGGGUUUGAAGAAUUGCUCUACUACAAACUGCUACUUUUUUUCUUUAUAGUCCAAAUAGCAGGGGGGUGAGAAUUAUUUGGAAUAAAGUAAAUCCAGAACCGCAAAGUGAUCGAGUGCCAUUUGACAUACACGGGUCUCCUCCAUCUCCUCUUUGAACUAAUCUUUUUUUUUUUUUUUUUUUUCCUUUUAUGGUAAGAUCCUCAGGCUUGUUUUGGUAAGUGAAGAGUGUGGAGUUUGGCAAUCCUUUUCUUCAAUUCACGAGUGUGCACGCCACGACUAGAGAUUCUAAUAUUAUAUGACACAGUUAGUCAUUAUAAUAAUAAAUCAUUAUAAAAAUUUAAGCUAGUGAGAAAAAAAGGUUACAGUUUAUCGGGAGUACCGUAAGAAAGGUUUGUGGUGUGAUGACACGAUUUAGUUCGUGCGUAAAAUUUUUUGAGAGAUUUUUAAGUAGAAUUAGAACUCAGAUUUUGAUUUAUAAAAUGGAGAAAAUUAUGUGUUUUGAAAUCAGUUUGGAAAUAUUAUGCAUUAUUUUUAAGCAUGAACUUGGGAUAUGUUUGAAUUAAAUUUAUAAUUUUCUUUUAAUUCAAACUUUAAAAAAUUAAGAAAAAAUCUCUUCAAAAUAAUUAUAAUAAUAAUAAUUAAAAAAAAAACACAAUCUCAUGUCAAAUUAUGUUCCUAAUUCAUAUAAAGCUAUAUAAAAUCAAUUUUCACUUGUUCAGUAAUUAAACUAAAUGUACAUUUGUAAAUAAAUUGUACAAAAUUUCUGAAUUUGUUCCAAAUACAAGACUUCUAAAUUUGUUCCAAAUAUACGCUUGACACAAACUCGAAGUCCAAUUAGCAGACUACAACGCUAAAAUCGCUCUAGAGUCCUCGGUCCUUGAUUAAUGAACUAGAUCGAGCAGAGACAAAAAGGACUCCAUAAACGAGGCUUUCCCCCCCUCAUAUUUGCCUCUGUAAUCUUCUACAAAAUCCUCCCCCGUGAAAUUUUAUUUCCAGAACUGAAUGAAUACAUGAGGUUUUCUUACUAGAAAAAUAAUAUUUAGCACCAUGAUUGUGACAGUAUAAUAACUAUAUGACCCAAGAGAAAGGGGUGAAGAAGAAAAACUCUCCUUUUGUGAUAUACAAACCUGUUCGUGCCACCUUAGGAAAAGACAGCAUAUUUUCUCAUACCGUAACAGUGAACAGAUACUCUUUCAAUACAACGGACAGAGCAAGCUGCAAAAGAAAGAUGCUAGCCACGAUGAGGAACCAUCUUUCACCUGCUGACUUGAUAUGGGCCCGGAGAUUAAGGGCAACAAAAGUUGCUGACAUGAACCCAGCUACACCAGCAAUUACCCAUCUGAAGAUUUCCAAGGGGACAACAGAAAGACACUGCACCAAGAAAAGAUCGAGUUUCAGCCACCUACUGUGACUUGUGGUUCACAGAGCUCAAUUAUAAGGCGCAUGUACGGUCAAGCAUGAAAACAAUGCGCUCUACACAUCUAAUCGGUGUCAAUGUGAUAACAGAAAACUAAAUGAUUUUAUAUCACAAUUUCAUAAGAAGCCACUAUUUUGUUUGUUUUCAGCCACCUAUUUGACCUAUGGUUCACAGAACUCAAUUAUAAGGCACAUAUGAAGUUAUGGUCAAAAGCAUGAAAAGAAGGCGUUCUACACACUUUAUUGACGUCAAUAUUAUGAUAAAUGAAAACUGAAUGAUUUUCUAUCACAAUUUCAUAAGAAGUCACCAUUUUGUUUGUUUUCACCUUCAUCAUAUUCCUAGGUCAACUAUUUCAAAUGCCUCAUCAAUCGUCCUAAUGGUUUAUACCAGAACCCGUUGGCUGUUAGGACCUCUCUGUUAAUGACACUUGGAUGUAUGAUCAGUUGAUCACAGAGUUGCUUCUCAACCAAAUGCUGACUUCCAUUAACUUAUAACACAUAUUCUGUACCAGACUUGAAUUUUAGAACAAAAAAUACCAUUCAGCCAGGCAUCUUAUUUCAAUACAAGGUCCACUUAGAAGGGAGUUUCUUUCUUUUUCUCUUUCUUUUCCUCUCUCUUUCUUUCUUUCUUUUCUUCCUUUCCUUUUCUUCUGGGAACGGAAAGGAGUUUCCUAGAAGAGGUACUAUAUAACAAUUUCCUGUAAAUCAAUCUUUCUAAUUACAAAACUCCAAAACUCUUCAAAUAUGGAGAUAAAAUUUCAAAAGAUGCAAAAAAAAAAAUCCUGGGAAAUAAUUUAUAGUUAACUUUUAGGGUUGAAAAUAAAGGAACUUACCAAAGCAGGAAUGAAGAUGAAUAGGGAGUAGCCAUAAAGACAAAAUAGUUGGACAAGGCCGGACGGUGCUGAGAAAUAUUUGAGAAUUACAUACAAACCAAGCGGAACAAUAGUGACAUAGCCAUAGAACACACCCGCAGACCAAGUAACCAGAUUUAUGUCAUAGGCCCAGUCUUUUUUAUUCAGCUUGUGUGCUAUGUAUGUCACAAAAGUGCCAAUGGCAGCUGCCACAAAUAUUAGUGUAGUGCAUAUCCAAAAAGGUCCAUACCUGCACAUCAUUGGAAACACAAAUCAUUACAUGCUCUCAAUAUAGGCAAGAAAAAUGAGAAACAGAAAAGGCGGGUAAAGUUUUGAGAAAAAAAAGGCUGCCGUCCACGAUGACAACUUUGUUAAACCAUUUUUAAAAAAAAAAAUAAGCAUGCAAAUAUGAAAUAGUAAUUCAUCAGAACACUGCAGAAGGUGCCUUGUAAAAUAAAUAAAAAAUUAACAAGAAAAGUACAAUCCAGCUUAAAGAAGUUGCACAGCAGCCAGGUUAACGAUACAACUGGUUAUUAAACAUAAAUAAGAACAGUAGACUGACUUCGAAAUUUUGAUGAGUACGAGUAAUUACGACUUUUGUUGUGCAACAGUGUCACAGACUUGAAAUAAUGACUAGAAUCUGAUCCUACUGUCUCAAGUUGACUAAAUAACCUGCAUGCCUUACAGUCCAAACUCAAAUCAAAGUCACCUAAAAUUUAAGUGAUAAGUAGUUCAAAUUAUGAAGACAAUUUGGAUGGACAUGCCCUAAAUUCUAGAAGAAAAUUCAGUAGUUCACAGUUUAGACCUUUGAGCUUAUGAGCAGAUGUAGUAGUUUCUAGUUUAUAACCAAGAACGACAGUAACUUGUGGUUCGUAAACACUAGUUUAUUCAAUAACGCUAGUAAGCAAUGUUUGUAACUCUAUCAUCAUAUAAGGGGCAUUUCAAUUUGUAGAAGGAUAUUAUUGUAUAUAGGAAGCAUUGUUUGAUAGUUCAGUCCAUUAAUGAAUUAAGCAAACAAUAAAGACAAAUGUGGGCUUACAGAUCUGGGUUGUCUGCUAUCUUCUCAGUAAAACUUCCUUUGAAUGGAAAGAGUGAUUCUUUAAUCCUCUCUAAAACAUCUGAAGUAUCAACAUCAAAGUACGGCUUGUACGCACCAAUGGUGAAUCUCUGAAGCCAACCACUUGGCUGUGUUCCAUCACAAGAAGCAUCUGAAGCCUUAGAAAAUGUAUCUGCACCAGUGUAACUUUUAGCCAUCAGCCACCAUACAAAUCAAAAACAAGGAAACCAUAUAACGGGAAUUGCCAAUAAAAAAAAUCUGAAGGAAAAUUUUCCAGCCUUCCACCAUAAGAAACAAAAGCGUGGACAUCACAUAGUUAUGAAUACAAAAGAGAAGCAUAAAUAAGACAACUUGCUACAGAUGCUCUGAGGCAAUCUGCAUCCAUUUAGCCAAGCUUUCCCAUUGAAGUUACCUUCCCAUUGGACACUGUUUGUACACUACCUGACGAAGUAUGGGCAUGAACAGAGUGGAUUAAGUUCUAAUUAACAUAGAGACCAGUGUUUUCCUAAACUAUGCUAUAUACACUCCAAAUACACCGCAUAAAAAAAAAGGGGUUCUGAUCAACAUAGAUGCCCACGAAAGGGCAAUUUCUCGAGCUCUUCUAAUCAAAUAAGAUAGAAAGGACACUAUUCAACAAACCAUGAAGGUUUAAUUAAUACCAAGAACAUUUGCAAAGUAAAAACCUAUCUAGUUAAGAAAAAGUACAUCCAAUACUUCUCAACAUUUGAAUGAAAAUUAAUCCAAGUUACACUAUAAUUACAGGCAUCAAAUUAGCAAUAUCUAACUUCGGGGCGGGGGAACCAAAACACAAAAUCAAAAUCCUCUUUCGCAUUGCUUUUUUAACAAAAAUAAAGCAACAUCGGAUCAGAUAGUACCAAAAAAAGUUGCAUUUACCAUCAGCAUCUCGAGGAGGGCGAGAACUACCAGAGAUCUUCCCACGAGCGUCAGAUGGAGGAAAUGUCUGUAGAUUUGAAUCUGCAAAAAAUACAUCCACCGGAUCAUGUAACGCUGUGGAAACUCAAUUUACACACCGCCGUACACAACAAAAACCUUCAGACCUCACAUUUCCAGACUCAUUCUAACCAACGAAAAAGAUGCAAAGCACAAUAUAUUAAAACCGCAUGUUUUUCUUUCGGACGCAAGAUCUAAGCACGAGACUCAAAGAAUUUCCCCUCCUUCGAUCUCUACCUUUACAUUUUUUCAGCAACCAAACGCCUAAAACAACAACAUGAUAUUGUCGAAAAAUCCACGACGAAAAAUAAGAGAAAGGUACCUGCAAACUGGACGGUGACAUGGCCUGGAUCUGGAACAGCCUGAGAAAAAAUCAAGAAAAACAACUCAAGGAGAUUCGAUCACAUGUAAAUUGAAAUGCACAAGCAUACACGCAUAAGUAAUUAAAUCAAGGCUUGCAUAACUCCAUGACAGGAUCUUGUCGGCUGAAAUAAAACGAGUUAUAAAUUACUUACAGGUACAGAUCCUGAAACCUUUUGGUUGUCAAGGCUUGUAUAAUUCCCUGACAUCAUCUUGACUCUCUUCUUCUUCUUUCUUCUUCUUCUUCUUCCUCUUCGCUUCGCGGCAACGGAUCGCUCUCUCCUCUCUCUAUAUCCUCGCUCGUUUUGCUCGUCUGUUUACUGCUCUUCCUGUUUGGGCUGGGUUUUAUUACACGGCGAGAAAUAGUGUUUGGUUCGGAUGUUGCACCGACACUGGGCUGAUUUGGAUGGGCCGAAAAUUGGGCUUAGUGUGGGUCCAUUAUUUUACUACUAUAAUUUUUUGUUAUUUUAAUAUUUAUUAUAAUUUAUAUCGUAUUAUUUGAUUCAUAAAUAAAAUAAUUUAAAAUUAAAUAUAAUUAAAAUAUUCAUAAAUAAAAUAAUGGAACUCGAUUGUAUGUGGUGGGUAAUAUUGUUUUAAAUCUUUACCUUCAAAUUACUCGGAUUAAAAUUUCAAAAAAAUUUAAAAACAAUUUAUUAUUAUUUAAUUUUUUAUAUUAUUUAUAUCACAAGACUAAUUUUAGUCUUUAAAAAUUUUCUGUGUAAGAUUUUUAAGUCUAAUUUAAAUUAUUUUAAAAUUUUUAUAAUAUUAUAUUGUCUGAAAUAGCAUAAAACGAUAUUACUUGAUCGAACUAUAUUUACAAUAUAAUUUUAUUAUAAUUCAACGUUCUGCACGAAAAUCGUGCAAAUGCAAUUUUCAAAACAGAACACGGAACCUUCUGUCGUGACCAAGAAAACUCGCUGGUCAAAUGUUGAUCAUGUCCGAAACUGAAAUUCUCAUUGAUGAACUACACAUUAGAAAUCAAUAUAAACACCAUUGCAGAAAGCUAUACAGCAAGCUCAGUCCACGCACCAUCAUCAAUACAAAAUCCCAGCACCAAAAUGCUGAAAUAUACUACUUGCCGAUAGACAGUUAACUGCGUUCAAUCAAGUAGUGAUUAACAAAUGUGAAUCCAUGCUGACAAGUGAUAGGAAAAUGUCAUCGUUAGCUCUUCGCACAUGAUAUAUUUUAUGAAAGAAAUUUUCGACGUCUUUCCUAACAGAAGUUCCCACGAAAAAUAAUUCUGAGCUAACUAAAACUUAUUAUAUACUAUUGAGCUGCAAGAAACACAAAUGAAUAGGAGAGCCCAAUAAAUUGGGAUUAGUUUUUUAAAUUUUUAUUCAAUUGUGGGAUUCUGAUUUAUUUGUGUUCGAAAAAUACUUGAUAAAUACUACUCCAAAUGCAGGCUAACCCGUAAUGAAUCUCUUACGAAAGGACCAUCCUUUGUCACCGCAAUGGGAGCCUUUGAUAUCUAAAUUAAAUGUCGGUCUGCAUCAAGUAAAUUGAUGCUAUGUGUUGGAUUUUCUUUGUACUAUCAUCACUCAUCAGUCAUUUUUCAAUCGACCCCUAGUGAGCAAUAGAUACCUUCUGAUUGCAAGAACAAGAACCCAAGUGGUGGCUGUAAUUUUCUCCUUGAUCAUUAGCAGGAGGGCUGAAUUAAGCACCGUCUUCAGAAUCUGAGCAUGCAAUCCCUUGAAAAAGCCCAGAAUCCCUUCUUUUCUCCAUAUAGCAUAGAUUACUCCACUUACUGUUUUGCGUGAUUUUUGUUGAGCCUUCUUAUUUGCAUCAUCACUUGACUCUGCAGCUUGAAUCAUUACCUUGCACCUGUCAGAGUAACAUUCCAAUUAGUGCCACACAUCAAGCAUUUAACUUCUUGUGCAAUAUGAUACUAAAUAAGCAAAUAAAAGGCAGAAAAAUAGAAGAGACAAAAUUUCCGUGAUUCAAAUUAAGUGACCUACUCCACUAGGAUGAAUCUAGAUUUGCUAUGAAGAAUUUUGAAAAUAACAAUGUAUUUCUCUUUCUCUCAAACUCGAGCCUUGAUAGACCAAAUAAGCAAAAAUGUUGAUUCUAAGAAUAAUAUUACACAUUAAUUAGCACUACACGAAAAAGAAACCCUUAAUGUGUACCAUGUGCAAGAAAAGGAAUCCUAUGGUAUAACCAUAUUUAUUGGUACUUAUCUUGUGAACCCAAUAUUUAUGACAUGAAUUGAUAAUUUGAGGAAGGGAAAAGACUAGGCACCUGAUUGCAGGAUAUGUCAAAAGGGUCGCAACACUCUUUGAAAUUGCACCUAACAGAAAAGCUGUGAAGGCAGAAAGGACUUCUGGGGCAGUCGUAUUGCCCUCUCCAGUCUGUCUUCUCUUCAGGACUCGUUGUUUCAGUUGAUCAAAUACAGUAUACUGCAGUACAUGAUGAUUCUUACCUCAGAAUGACUAAUUAUCUUGAGUUAAAUGUUGGAAGUGGAACAGAACUAAAAAAUAAUCAGCAUGACAUGAACUGCACAAAUGAGGCAAUAUACUCUCUAGUUCCAAAUUACAAGGUCACUCAUAGUACCUGAAUUGCAGGAUUUGAGGUCAACAAAAGAGAGAUCCCCAAACCAUCAAAUGCAUCACUCCAUGUACCCUCUGUAAGUGUCUUCCAUAGCCCUUUGGAUUUUCCAAACUCGCUUGUUUGCAUCCUCGAAGAGGCAGUAUCCAGGGGCUAGAUGAUAAUAACAUUUUAGUCUACUAUCAACUCCAAAGCCAAAUCGUGCAGUACAGAGUUUGCUCAUAUGAGAUGAUAAAGAAAGAGAAAAGGAACUUAAAAAUCAAUUGAUGAGGAUAUUAGAAAACUUUGACAUUUCUUUAACUCACAGAAUACUAAAACAAAAUAAAGACUCAGGUUCUACACUCCGACAUCAGAGACCCAAUCUUUAAAGUCCAAGCUCCUGCAUCACCAAUAGCCUAAAUUAUUUUUAUCAUUCUAAUAUCAAAGAAAAACCAUCAGAAUGUAAGACCAAGAGUUCAAUCAGAUAAACACAAUAUAGUCUCUCUCCUAUAUGCGAAGCCAAAUCAAGAAACACUAGAUAUGGAUUUCUUUGGUCAUAUUGCGACUGUGUUUCAAUCUCUGUACACUGAAAAGUGAUUCCCAAGUUCACAUCAUUUGAUUGAACAUAAUGAAUGGAUUAGAACAGUAUGGACACAUUCUGCGGGAAAAAACACUAUUUAAAUGUGAACAAAAACAAGGGGUGCUAGAAACGCAAUGGCUCACCUGAGUCAGAAUGGCAGUGCAAGCCCCGGCAGCAGCAGCAAUUAUCAAGUUCGCUUUUGUUCCAAUCCUUUUGGAACCACUCCUUUCUAGAUACAAUCUUUUAAAGUAGCUGUAUCCAUAGAAAUAGACAAAUUGUGCAAUGAAGGACUGCAGGUUUUUAGUUCCAAGACCCUGGUAUAAUGAAAUAACCUGACCCGUUGAUAUUGCUUCCCAUAAGACAUCUGAAAGGUUCCUAUAUGAGAUAAAAGAAGAACAAAAUCAAAUAAACAUUGAGGCAAAUCUGAGAUCCACCAGCUUAAAAAAUGGUGCUCUGCAGAGAAUCCAUAUAAGAUAAAAGAAAAACAAAGUCACAUAGACAUUGAGGCUAAUCUGGGAUCCACCGACUCAAAAAAUGGCUGUUCUGCAAAGAGUUCGACCAAAGAUUUAGACUUCACCCAAUAUAUCAUAAAGUUACUGCAUAAUCCAGACAAUUAUGAUAAAAAAUCUAGAGCAUACAUCAUCAUGUGAUUACAUUGUUGCCAAAGGUAUUUGAGAUCACCUGACUCUCCCAUCUUCAUUGUAAAAUGGAAUUUAAGGAGAAGAAAGACCUUCAGUAAGAUUACACCAUAUAUUCAGCAUAAAAUAAAUAUAUACAUACAGAAUUAUCUAUAUUUAAACAGCCUGAUUUACAGAAUUUCAGUAGCACCAAAAACUUGUCAGAAAUAUAAUUAGUGUCAGUGUAUAGGUUGAAGAUUUGCCUGAAAUACUAAUGAAGAAUGGAAAAACAAAGGAGAAGGAUCAUAAAUCAAAAAAGGAAAAAACAGGCAGACAAUCCUUUCACGAUAACGAUGAAUUCAUGGGAACAACCGGCUUCCCCCUUCAUUCUAUAAAAAUACGAUGUUAAAAUGAUAUUACCAAAUAAAUGGCUACCACAAUCAAUAACAGAAGGUGGCCUGAGCCUCUAUGAAACAUAUAAAGCAACGAAAGGAUCACUAUGGUUCAAUACUGAAAAAUCUAAAAUAACCUAUCAAAAUUCUCACGAUAAUUCACCAAGNNNNNNNNNNNNNNNNNNNNNNNNNNNNNNNNNNNNNNNNNNNNNNNNNNNNNNNNNNNNNNNNNNNNNNNNNNNNNNNNNNNNNNNNNNNNNNNNNNNNNNNNNNNNNNNNNNNNNNNNNNNNNNNNNNNNNNNNNNNNNNNNNNNNNNNNNNNNNNNNNNNNNNNNNNNNNNNNNNNNNNNNNNNNNNNNNNNNNNNNNNNNNNNNNNNNNNNNNNNNNNNNNNNNNNNNNNNNNNNNNNNNNNNNNNNNNNNNNNNNNNNNNNNNNNNNNNNNNNNNNNNNNNNNNNNNNNNNNNNNNNNNNNNNNNNNNNNNNNNNNNNNNNNNNNNNNNNNNNNNNNNNNNNNNNNNNNNNNNNNNNNNNNNNNNNNNNNNNNNNNNNNNNNNNNNNNNNNNNNNNNNNNNNNNNNNNNNNNNNNNNNNNNNNNNNNNNNNNNNNNNNNNNNNNNNNNNNNNNNNNNNNNNNNNNNNNNNNNNNNNNNNNNNNNNNNNNNNNNNNNNNNNNNNNNNNNNNNNNNNNNNNNNNNNNNNNNNNNNNNNNNNNNNNNNNNNNNNNNNNNNNNNNNNNNNNNNNNNNNNNNNNNNNNNNNNNNNNNNNNNNNNNNNNNNNNNNNNNNNNNNNNNNNNNNNNNNNNNNNNNNNNNNNNNNNNNNNNNNNNNNNNNNNNNNNNNNNNNNNNNNNNNNNNNNNNNNNNNNNNNNNNNNNNNNNNNNNNNNNNNNNNNNNNNNNNNNNNNNNNNNNNNNNNNNNNNNNNNNNNNNNNNNNNNNNNNNNNNNNNNNNNNNNNNNNNNNNNNNNNNNNNNNNNNNNNNNNNNNNNNNNNNNNNNNNNNNNNNNNNNNNNNNNNNNNNNNNNNNNNNNNNNNNNNNNNNNNNNNNNNNNNNNNNNNNNNNNNNNNNNNNNNNNNNNNNNNNNNNNNNNNNNNNNNNNNNNNNNNNNNNNNNNNNNNNNNNNNNNNNNNNNNNNNNNNNNNNNNNNNNNAAUCAAAUUUUUAAUUAAAAAAUGAUAAGUUGGGUAAUUUAAUAAUUAAACAAUUAAAUAAAAUUAAUUAUAAUUAAAUAAAAUUCACCUUCAUCCAUGUAAUUUAUUUAAUAUACUAAUAAAUUAAAUUAUAAAAUUAUAAAAUUAAAUAUUAUUGACCAACUGACAUUAAUUUAUAAUAUAUAUGCAAAUAUAACAAAAUUUUACAUAAUUGAAUUAAUUUUUUAAGUUGAGAUAAAAUAUCAUAAUUCGUAUAUAAUUGUGUUAGUGGUAAGCAAAAUUAAAAUGAAUUAAACAUUAUUUUAUAUACAAUUUCGUUUAAUACAUACUUAUACACAAAUAAAAGAAUAAUGAACAUAGAAUAGAGUAUGAUUACUAUCUCCAAUUCUAUAAGAAUUACAUAUACAUAAUAAAAUAAAAUGUUUAUUUUUAUCAUAUUAAAUAAUAUUUUAUGCUGUCACACUAGUUUUGUGUAUAGUUAUUGUAAAGUCCCUUUGUUUUUUUAAGCGGCGUAGUCUCAAAUAAAUCAAUAUGCAGAACACUCGUAUCUCAAUUCAAAUCAGGCAUACACAUAAAGAAAAAUACCGCAACCAAUUACUCAAUAUCAAAUAGAAAUCCUCAAUCGUAAACGCAUCAAUACAGUAGAGUACAAGUUCAUACAUAUUUGGUUUACAUACGAUUUAUGUUACUAUCAACUAUGUAAGUAUCCAAUUCUACCGGUAGUAACCCCUGCUCUAUCUCCUCUAUAUGUUAGAUUAAGAAAUCGGCAACUCCGAUCUCAAUUCCAGUCAUACUUCAUUUAUAAAUAAUAGAUAAUAAAUACAUAUAACUCAGUACAGUAAAUUUAAAUUACAAGUAUAGCAUAAAAACCUAAUUAAAAUCUCAUUCUUAUAUGUUUUCCCUUCCUGAUACCUAAGUCAUGUUUUCGUCCUACUCUCUAACUCUACAGUAUUAAUACGUCUCUCCAGUAAUUAAUCAUUGUUCAUACUAGAUGUAAUCACCCCCCUGACAUCACCCCCUCGGUCCUGACUCGGUCACUCACCCACAAGGUUACCUUCAUCCGUCACCAGUAUCAACGACCAUUAUUUGCCUUUCUAUCACUCGAUCCUUAGCUAGCCACCCACACACAUCAGUACUGUUUCCUUCCGUCACCAACAUCGGCGACUCAACACAAUAUUCGUCGGGCACCCUCAAACAUCACCACUAUCGGCGAUUGACUUACCUUUUUUAGGUAACGACAACCAAUAUCGGCGUCCUUUAACUCAACCGCCUAUAAGGCACUCUCACCCCGUCCCUACUCAAUAUACCCUGCAUACUCGCAUACUUAACCCCCACGCCGGGUAUUCCAACAUGAGCUAUUACUAAACCAUCAACAUUGUCAUGAAAUUCUCAAAUUUCUUAACAUAUUUAUAGAACAUACACUAACACAUCACCAUACAACAUACACUCACACCUAGCACAUUUACACAAAUACACCUCUAUACCAAGUACUUACCCAUAAAAUUCAUAAAUUUACAACAUAUACACCAAUACACAUUCCCAUACAACACACACCCACACACAGUACAUUUACACAAAUACACCUCUACACCAACCACUCACACACACAACCGUUACAGGCCUACAUUUACUGCUCCCUAAUUUUUAAAAUACUCACAUCCCACUCCUACAUGCCUACACUCACUAUUACCAACCAAUCCACUAUUUGUCCUUCUCUUCCCUUGUAUCGGCUUCCCGUUCUCUUCUUCCUAUCAAUACCACUCUCUCACAACACUCUGCCUCUCCCUAUCUUCCUUUUUUAGCAUCUCGCCUCCUACUCUCCCAUACUCAUUAUACCUAUAACCGUUCUACUAUCAGUACCUAUUUUUCCUCCUCUUCGUUUGUCUCGGCUUCCAGCACUCUUCUCCUUAUCCUUACCAAUCCCUCAUAACCCUUCGCUUAUCCUUCUCUCUCUCUUUCGGCAUUUCGCCUCUCCUCCUUCCGUGCGCGUUCUGCUCCUCCAAACUCACUCCAACUCACCUCUCCCUACGAACUCUCUUGUACCUUUUCAAUCACCAUACUCCUUCCUCUAGUAGUAACCGAAACUCACCUUCACUCACUCAUCGUACUCAUCGAUCUCUCCUCCUGUGGCUUCCUCCUCUCCACUCACAGCUCCAACCAAUGUUUCUGUCACUCAUAUUCUCUUUUCGCUCUCCUAUUCCAUCUAUCAUUAUUUUCUAACUCCAUUUCCUUAGCUAGUUAGACAUUUAUUCAACACUUAUAGUCACAACUCCACAUUUUAUCAUCAUCUUACACUCGAAAUUUAAAUUUACUAUACCUCCAGUUUUCAUCUUUUCUUUCUGCACCUUCGUAGCUCGCACCGUCACCUUCUUCCUUCUCCCACUCUCUCUUCUCGUUCCUUCCCAUUCCGACUUCCCUCUCUCUCGAAUAUUCUAUUCCUCGUUUCCUCCUCUCUAUUUUUCCUUUGUCUUUCUUUCUUCCCCUUCCUCUUAUUUAUAUCCCACCUACCUUUCAUCUUGACUGUCCAUCCCAUCUCACCCUCUAUACUCAUCCUAGUCGUCCACUCUCUCUCUUCCAAACGACACCGUUCACUCAUCUCCCUUUCCUUAAAUAUAUAUAUUUAUGUUUAUCUAUUAUUAUUAUGAUUAUUAUUACUACUAUAUAUAUAUAUAAAUACAUUUUUUCAUCCAAAUAUCAGCUACUACAGUUAUACACAUCAUUUAAUUAUUAUAUCAUCGUACAUAAUUUAAAUAUAUUAUUGUCUUAUUUAAUUAAGAUAUUUUAAUUAUUUAAUGUAAAAAAGUUAAUGUACUUGCAUAUUUAAUGUAUAUUUAAUUCCACUAUAAUAAUUAUUUAUUUUCAAAUGUCAAUAAAUGAAUAACAAAAUUAUACAAUUAAAACCAUUGUGUAUUGUUUGUAUUUUUUUAAAAUCAAUGUACUAUAUAUGUCGUAUAUAUCUAUUAAAUAAAUUUUAAAUUUUAAAGUAAGUCAAAUAUUUAUAUUUUAAUAAAAAUAAUAAAUGAGCUAUCAAUUUAAUUAAUCAAUUUCAAUUAAUAGUAUAACUUUAACGUAUUUAAAUUCACGAUUUUAGCGUGAAAAAAUAAAUUUUGAAUUUUAAUUUAUUAUAAACGAAAAUAUGUAAUGAUUAGAUUAAGAGAACCGUUCAUAUUAUAUAAUUAUAUUAAAUAAUUGAAUAUGUUCAAUAUACGAGUUUUAAAAUUAUUUAAUUUCUUAGUUCCAAAUUCUUUUUGCUUUCACGUCGUGUUAUCUACUUAUUUUACAUUUAGAGUAUGAUAUAUGCUUUCGAUUAUAUAUAGAUAUUUUGCAACAUAAAUAAAAUUGUAAAUAUAAGAAUAUUAUUGUUUUAUGUCACAAUAAAGCUAUAGCAAAAUAAUAAAUAUUAUACUAAAAAUUGGAAAAUUACAAAUAUUUUAAUUUAUAUGGUGACAAAAAAAAGUUACGGGGAGAAUACAAGGAAAAUAAAUUCAAUGUAUACAUAAUAUAUACUAAAAAUAUAUAUAGUCAAUGAAAUAUAAUAAUUUAUAAAUAACCAAAUUACUAUUUAUAAAAAUAAUCAAUUAAAUUACAAUUAAUUUUAUAAUAUAUACUUUAAAAGAUAAUUUUCCAACAUUAAUUGGGAAACUAUCUUACUUAAAUAGUAAAUAAAUUAUAUUUUCUGAUAAUUUAUUUUUUUAAAAAUAAUAUUUAAAUAUAUAAUGAUAUAAAUAUAAAGAAUCUUUAUUUAAAUAAAUUUAGAAUAUUGAAUUAUAUUGUGAAACAAUCUUGUUUAAAAGAGGAAAAUUUUGGUAAUUAAUAAGGAAACGUUUCGAGAAGAACAUCUUCCUAAAAUCUCAGCCGUUGAAUGAACGCAAGUGAUAUCCAACGUUUAAAAUCUGUCUUCACAGAGAAGAAGAAAAACAAAAAAAAGAAAAAGAAAUUUCCGUCAAACUCGAAGUAUUACUUAAAGUCUGAACCAGCCCCGGCAGCACGUCUUCUCUAAAAGCCUCCAUAGCCACCAACACCCCAAGUCUAGGGUUUUUGGUGAGUCUUUCUUCAACCUCGAGCAAGUGAAAUACUAAAAGCACGCAUAUUCAUCAAUGUCCAGGUUAUUUACGUAUAUGUUAUUCCCCAGUUCGAUUCAUCAUGAACUAGGGAUUCUAUGUUCCUGCAUCUUCGUGACGUGAAUUUUCACUCAUCGGAACUAAUUCUUGCCUGUUUGCAUCUUCUUUCAACUCCGCAUGUAGCUAACAGAUAGAAGGACGUCGAAGUUCUUCUUGUGUUUUCUUUUCUUAACUGGCUCUGGGGUUUCUGGUUUAUUCACAAAACAAAAUCGGUGGAUCAGAAUCUUAACUCCAAAUUGAAGAGGCUAAUUUUUUUGGCAACUGCAUCUUGGCUUUAUAUUAUAAUUGAUGCUAGUUAGGGUUUUGCCGUUUAUUGUCUCCCAAAUCUAUUUAGCUAAUCCAAACUUUGGAACCUUCAGAUUUGGGCUUGAAUUUUAUAUUUUUAAUAUAGAAAUAUGUCCAUUGCAUCUACCACUUAUUUCCAAUAUAAUCGGAUGGAGUCGGAACUUUUAAUUGAUACACGUUUCUUGUUGUUGCUCUUUUAGUUUCUUUAUGGCGAAACAGUCAGCUGGAACGGGGUAUCCGGGGGCUCGAGCUGGGGUGCGAAUUGUGGUGGCGGGGGAGCAGGGUACUGGAAAAUCAAGCUUGAUUGUCACUGCUGCUGCUGAAAAUUUCCCCACUAAUGUCCCGCCUCUUUUGCCUCCUACCCGGUUGCCUGAAGACAUCUACCCUGAUCGUGUUCCAAUCACCAUCAUUGAUACCUCUUCCAGGUAUAUUUGUCAUGCCCCAUUGUCUUUGUCUCCUGGCAUUGUCUGCUAUUCGUUAGAACAAAUAAAAUUCCUUUUAGAGGCUAAAGUCUUUGAAUUUGCGUUCUAUGUGAGGUUUUUAUGUCUUCGGUUCUCGAGAAUUUUCUUGGUUGUGAAUGUGAAGGAUAGCAGAGUUUUAUGCUAAUUAAGUUAAGGGUGCUAUUCGUUUACCUUUAUUUAGGCUUUUAUGUUUUCAUCCUCUCAGAGAGGAUUCAAAAUUAGAAAGACAAUAUUUUAAAUGCGAGUUUUCUUUUGCACCAAGUAUUACUAGUGGCACUGCAUUGCUUGGUGAAACACUCGGUGAAUUUCCAAGUAAAGGCAGUUAACUUAAUUAGGGUGAUGGUAGUUUCCUUUUUCACAUUACAGAUAAGAUUCCAAUUGAGUUUUUUCGAUUGAAAGUCACUGGGCUAGCAAGUUACGUGUAUGCAUGGCAUCUAUCUAGUUGUCGUGUUAUAUUAUAACUUCACAGCUAAGCCAGCUGGAAUCCACAAACUUAAUCACACCUUGCAUUAAUGUUAUUUUUACAUGGUUUUUGCAUUUAAUUUCCUGAUUCUAAUGAUUCCUUGACGUAACCUUCAUUUUACACAGACCGGAGGAUAGAGGUAAACUUGCUGAAGAACUGAUGCGGGCUGAUGCAGUUGUGCUUACUUAUGCAUGUGAUCAGCCAAAGACCCUUGAUCGGUUGAGUGAAUACUGGCUUCCAGAGCUUCGUCAAUUAGAGGUUUAUACAAAUUUUUUAAAGAAGUUUAAUUUUUUUCCUGCCUUUGUUCAUUUAGUUGUUAUCGCAUUCAGGGAAAUCUGAUUUAUAGGCAAAGACGCCGAUUUUUGCCUUAAUGCGGUGAAAAACUUCAUGAAGUUGUUCUUUUUGAAGCUAUUGUUUUCAGUUCAUUAUUCUUUUUCUAUUUUCAUGAUUCAGGAUUUUUUUGGCAAAAAGUGAUAGAGUUUAUCUUUUAUUUUGAUAGACUAGUUGAAGUAAUAUUGGUUUUAGAUCUGUUAUUAUGUCCGUUACUGGUGUUGAGCAGGUGAAAGUUCCAGUUAUAGUGGUGGGCUGUAAGCUGGACUUAAGAGAUGAACAACACCAAGUGAGUCUGGAACAAGUUAUGUCACCGAUAAUGCAACAGUUUCGGGAAAUUGAGACUUGUAUUGAAUGCUCAGCUUAUAAACAUAUUCAGGUGUGUUUGGAACCGCUGAUAUCUGUUAUUACUUUUACAUUAUUCUCUAGGGUACUAAUGUAAAUUAUUCUGUUCAAUUUCAUAAUGUUGCUUAUUGGAUGCUCUACAGUGUUAGAGCCAGUGAUAUGCAGGUUUUGCUUUAUGAUUUUCUCCUUCCUAUUGGACAUUUUUUAUUGUUUAUGCAUAAGCACUUUGUACCAUCAUUCUUGCAUUUUGGAUCCAUAUCAAGCUUUUGAGAGAAAGAAUGGACUUUUAUGAGUUUUUCAACUAGAAAUGAGUCUUUCUGUUAUAUAUCUUUUAUACCUUUUUCUUUUGAAAAACUCUUUCAGCAAGAGUAUCAUUUUUGAUGUUAUGAGCUUCUUGUUCAGCUAAUUUGUCGACGCUGAUUAUGGAUCAGUGAAACAGUGGCAAUUUUGAGUUUUGAAUUAAUGUUAAAGUUUGUGCAUGUAGAUCCCAGAGGUUUUCUAUUAUGCACAAAAAGCAGUGCUUCACCCUACUGGGCCACUCUUUGAUCAAGAAUCUCAAACUUUGAAGCCCCGCUGUGUGCGAGCCUUAAAGCGUAUUUUCAUUCUCUGUGAUCAUGAUAGGGAUGGCGCUCUCAGUGAUGCUGAGUUGAAUGAUUUUCAGGUUUCACUUUCUUCUCUUGAUCUGUUCAUUUGUAUUUUUUUGGUGUUAUCUGAUGUUAACAUUAAGCUUUUCUGAAACAAGUGCUGUAAAUUUGAAAUUUUAGUGCCUGUCAUUUAGGUUUCUGAAUUGCUGAUGUUAAUCAUUUUAAACAGGUAAAAUGUUUCAAUGCACCAUUGCAACCUUCUGAAAUAGUUGGUGUCAAGAGGGUUGUGCAAGACAAGUUACCUGAAGGAGUUAAUGAACGGGGACUGACAUUGACUGGGUUUCUCUUUCUCCAUGCAUUAUUCAUAGAGAAAGGGCGUCUUGAGACAACUUGGACUGUCCUGCGAAAAUUUGGAUACAAUAAUGAUAUUAAACUUGCAGAUGAGUUGAUUCCACAUUCGUCAUUUAAACGAGCUCCUGAUCAGGUAACAUCAUUCGUUCCAUAAUAAUUGAAGUUGUCCUUGUCCAAUCAGCAGUACGAUCUUGCACUAUCUGCUGGUGUUUCCUUUAUUUGAUUGCUCAAAGUGGAGUGAAAAUGUCAUUGACAUGAUAUUAAAUGAUUUUCACUUCUGAAAGCUAUGAAAUUUGCCACUAAUAAGUCCUUUCAGUGAUCAUCAGAUAAAGAGUGAAAAACUUUUGGACAAUGGAGUUUGCAGCAAAAAAAAAAAAAAAUGGAACGCUAGAUUGGAUCAAUAUUUGUCUAAAACAAAGGCUUGGGAGUUUAAGUGAGAAGCAAUAAUUGUUUGGCUGGAUAUUCCUUGACCAGGCAGCAUGGUUUUUGCCUGGCAGAAAUUUUUGGUAGAUUGUAUAUAAAAUUGAUAUCUUAUCCUUCUCCAGAUGUUCUGUUUGAUGGUCUUGCCUGUCAUCAAGCAGAUUUAGUGUGUAAUUCUGUUUGAAGCUGCUUUAGAUAACCUCUUAUCCUUAUCUUUGUAAUUUCUGUUUAAUAGACAUCCUAUGCUUUUCUCUGCAUAAAUUUAAUUCUUAUUGUCUUCUGUGUAGAGUGUGGAGCUGACAAACGAAGCUGUUGAAUUCUUGACUGGAAUCUACGAGUUGUUUGAUAGUGAUGCUGUAUGUCACAGUUAUCUCUUCCUCCAUCAGCAGUCUUCUUUUUAACUGUCUCGACCAGAUUUCUGUUUAUUUUAUGUAAACUUCAUUAGAGUCUAACCUAUAGAUAUAUCUGCCAAAGAAGUUCUUCAAGUUCUCAGCUUUCUGACAAAUGGGUAUUGUUUUACCAGGAUAACAACCUAAGACCUUAUGAAAUCGAUGACAUUUUUUCUACUGCCCCUGAAAGGUAUUCAAAAUUUCUUUUGAGAGGAUAAUAUCUUAAAUUUUGUGUCUUUUUUAUUUUUAUAAAAUUUUUUGUCUUUUGUACAUUAUCAUCCUCUGCUCUGUGUGUUCUAUCCAUUGUAAUUCUUCUCUAGAAACCUGUCUGUCAUAUUAAUAUGUUUUAACUCUAUAGUGUUCCUUUCCUUUCGUGAUAGCUACUAGCUGUUGCACUGAACUGUAUGUAUUUAAGUGUUUCAUGCCUAAAACUUAGAGGGUGUUCAUGUUUUCUUAAAGAAAGACACAUGAAGCAUCGUGUUUAUAAGCAACUUUGAUAUAGUUAUUGAUUUAAAAAAACAAAAAGUUAUUUAUUUAGAUAAAAGUUCUUAUUGCAAAAGGAUAAACACUUAUAAUUUUUUUAAAAAAAAUAAAUAUGUAGGUAUAAAUAGGUAACUUUAAGCAUAGACAUAAAGUUAAAAGCUGUCAUGGUUAUUUUUUUCCCUGCUGAAAAGGUGGUUUAUAUGCACCUUCUAAUUAGAUGAUGUUCACACGUUUACCAUGGAGGUUGAACUGAGUGGGGUUCUUAUAAGCAUGUUAAUCCAAGGACUCUCUUAAUUUUUGCUGCUAUAUCCUUUGUAGUCUUUAUUAUCAUGUAUUUAGGAAUUGUUAACAGCAUAGACAUAAAGAUCAUGGUGGUUAUUUGUUCCUGCCUAAAAGGUGGUUAUAAGCACCUGCUGAUUAGAUCUUUAUGACUUUACCAUGAACGCUGAACUGAGCGGGAUGCUUAUAAGCCGAGUUCCCUCUUAACUUUUGCUGCUUAUAUUCUUCGUAGUGUUUAUUAUCAUUUAUAUAGAGAUUGUCAUGAGCUGCUAAAGGAAUAUUUUCUUGUCUACUUGUGGGUUCUUCUGUAUGUGCAGUCCUUGGGAUGAAUCUCCAUAUAAGGAUGCUGCAGAGAGAACUGCAUUGGGAGGCCUAUCUGUUGAUGCUUUUAUAUCGGAGGUAUAUAUUCCUUUAAAAUCUCUCUCUCUCUUUCUCUCUCUCUGGGCAAUUUGCAUUCGUCCUACUUAAUGCUUUUAUAUCAGAGGUAUUUAUUCUUUUAAAAUCUCUCUAUCACUCUCUCUCGACAAUGUAUUCUUUGUUCUUGUACAUCAAUAGGUACUGGUGAUAGCAAAAUUGCAUAAACCUUAUGUCCCUCAAUCUGUUGCAUUCUUCCUUCUUAGUAUAUGAUUUAUUAUUGCCAUGGUAGGCAGCAGAUGGCAAUUUCUGGGGCAUGAGUUUGGGUUUUGUUACUUGAGUGCUGCACUAUUUGUUAUCGAAUUUGCUAUCAUUUCAAGGGGAGACUUUAUGUUCUCCUAUAACAGCUUCUUUUAAUUGAUUUAACUGGUGUCUAUUGCAGUGGGCUCUAAUGACACUUUUGGACCCAGCACGCAGUGUUGAAAAUCUAAUAUACAUUGGAUAUCCUGCUGAUCAAUCUUCUGCAAUCCGUGUGACAAGGAGAAGACGUUUGGAUCGGAAAAAGCAACAAUCAGAGAGAAACGUUUUCCAGUGCUUUGUCUUUGGGCCAAGGAAUGCUGGAAAAUCUGCAUUGUUGAAUUCUUUUAUUGGAAGGUUUAUUAUUUGAUCUAUAUCUGAUGAGUCUACAUAAUUCCAAAAUAUCACUUGUUUUUACAUCUUUAUAUUGAUGGUAUUCUAAUUUAAUCUAACUAAUAUUCAUGUAUAUUGUUAAUUUUUAAAAAGGUAUCGAUGUAUAUUAUCCUUCGUUUGUAAAUGUAGGCCCUAUUCUGAUACUUAUACGUCUACUACCGACGAGCGAUAUGCAGUAAAUAUCGUUGAUCAAGCAGGGCCAGGGGUGAGUUCUACUGUUUUGAUUGGGCAUUUUGAUUAUGUUUACAGAAAAGAUUUAACAUUUUAACAUUCUGUUAUAGGUAUGUAUUAUUUUGAUAUUCUGAACUUAAUAAAUCCCUUGGUGCAAAGUAGUGUUGCUACCAACAAAUAUUUGAGGUGAAAAUUGCAGAGCUGAGUUCUCCAGGAGCGAAUUAAUUCAACAUUUAAGAUUUUUCCGUAAUUGCUAUACUUAGUUAUUGAUAUGUAGAUGUGUGCCUUUGUUCCUCCCCUUUAGAAUUUCCGUAAAGACAAACAAAUAUGCAUGUAUAACUCAAGCAGUUAUAUGAGAAAAGCAAUGUCCACGUUUUCUUGGAUAAUUUUUCCUUCACUAUGUUAUCACUUGGAGAAUCUAGACUACGAAACAUUUUUCUUCUUUUGGUGUUUCUUGGUUGUGUGCUUCAAACUUAGAGAUCUUCAUCUAUGCCUUGUUUGGCUUCGAGUUAAGUGAGGAUCAUAAUAUGCUUUCAGAGUGGCGCUGUUUUUGCUUGGUUAUGUGUCCUUUGUUUGGAGAGAAAUGCGAGAAUUGAAAAUUCGCAUGUUUUUUUUCUUAGUUGUUCAAUAAGAUAAUUUCACUGUUCUAUUCUCAGGGCAUAAAGAAAACACUUGUUCUGCGAGAGAUACCGGAAGACAUGGUAUCGAAACUGUUGUCAAGCAAAGAAUCUUUGGCUCCUUGUGACAUCGCAUUGUUUGUGUAUGACAGGUACAUCUUGUUCUUUGUUGUUGACAGAUGGUGUGCGGUAGGGCUUUUACCAUAGUACUCUGGGGAGGGGAUAGAGGAAGCCUUUGAGUUAUUAAGUUUGUUCCAGGUGUGCUUGUUAUCUUAAGUCGUGUGCCUUUUGCUUUUGCAGUUCGGAUGCCUCGUCAUGGAAGAGGGCAACUGAGUUGCUCGUGGAAGUUGCAAGCCAUGGUGAGGAUAAUGGCUUUGAGGUACCUUGCCUUAUUGUUGCGGCUAAAGAUGAUUUGGAUUCAUUUCCGAUGGCAAUACAGGAGCCUACCAGGGUAUUUACUUUUUCCACUGGCUCUGGCAGCACAUAAAUGAUUUGCAGAAACUUCACUUCUAUAUUUAGUAUAGGAUAUUUGUAGCUUGUAUAAAGCAAAUGGACAUGGUUUGUUUUGCUUGUACUCUUCAGAUUUAUUUGGAAAAAGAUGGAGCAAUCUUGGAGAAUGCGGAAUUUUUUUUGAGCUUGCUGGUUUCCAUACUUAAGUUUAAAUUUUAGUUGCAUCGUUGAGUUGAACCGCGAUGUAUAUGUAAUUUAUGUACAAUUCAAUGGAGAAUAUUUUUGGUAUAAGCUGCAUUGCAAUUCGAUUUGAACUUCCCUGAUAUGAUGGUGUAUCUUGGUUGUAAAUUUUGCAGGUUAGUCAAGAUAUGGGAAUUGAGGCCCCUAUCCCCAUCAGCUCGAAGUUGGGUGAUUUCAGUAACUUAUUCCGUAGGAUUUUAAGUGCGGCCGAGCAUCCUCAUUUAAGUAUUCCUGAAACAGAAGCUGGAAGAAGCCGCAAGCAAUAUCACCGACUCAUAAACCGCUCUCUUAUGUUUGUUUCGGGUACAUGAUCUAUUUUUGGCUGUCAAUAGUGUUUAAUUUUUCAAUUGAACUACUUGAAACCACAUAUGCUUGGCAUUAGCUAAUUUAUAAAACCGUCAGAAGUCUUUUCUUCCCAAUUUUCUAAGUUUAAUGCCAUUUAAUUUAUUCCAUCUUGUUGUAAUUGGGAAAUAUGUUGCCUUAUUGGUAAUAACAUUCUAUAUUGUCUACUGUGCGCAAUUUGUAGUUGGAGCUGCAGUGGCCAUAGUUGGACUGGCUGCAUAUCGUGUUUAUGCUGCAAGGAGGAGUUCCUCCAGCUGAGGGAUGAAGAUCAGCUGAUAGUCGGUACCUUCUCUUUCUCUUAAGUAUAACAAUUAUUCAACCUCUCGCCCAAUAUCAUCAGAUACCCGCGUUGGCUCAUCCAUAGUGAAGAUGCAAAUUUCAGUUACUUGUCAUAACUUAUUAAAUUACCUUUCAGCUCUUGCUGUUCUCAGAAAUAUUUAGAGUGGGAUAGUUUGGGUGGAAGAGUUUUGUAGAAUGUUGACAGAUAAUGAUGGAUUGGGUUCUUGUGCAGGGCUUGUGCAAUAAAAAAAAAAAGAAAUUUUGUUAGAGAUAAUCUCAGUUAAACCUUUUUUCUUCUGAGUAUAAUGCAAUAUGCUUCUUUUCUGCACUGUGUUUGGUGUUUCUAAAUAACAGGGAGCUAUUAUACAUGUUUUCUCUUUUUACUGGAUUACGACUUGUUUGCUUAGUGUUGAAUGUGUAACAAGCUAACAUGUAUCGAAUGUAUGGUGUUUUUAAUUGAUCAUUUG
rnacentral:lncRNA from 1 species